UCGCCGGACCGGCGACCCUUUGAAAUUUGGAUAUGUGUGCAACCGCCAUAGUUUUACGCGGCUAAGCGACGUACCCUCGUGGCGUCAAUCACUAUAUAAAGGGUCGCCAUGCUCCGGUAGAAGAACAUCACAAACUCGAGAGCAGAGAGCACCUGCCAAGGUACAGCAAUCGCCACUGCACUAGUUCUGCCGUCUUGCGUUUCUCUGUGCGAUCUCGACCGCGGCGUCGACCAUGAGCUACCCGCCACCGGGCACCGCGUACCCGCCGCCGGGGCAGGAGGCCUACCCGCCUCCAGUCUACGGCGCUCCGCCGCCUGUCGCCGCCAGCUACCAGCAGCAGCAGGCCCCGCCGCCGGAACCGGAGGACAGCGGCGACGGCUUCUGGAAAGGAUGGUACGGCCACUCGAUCGUCAAGAUUACCCACUGCUGUCUGUUUUGAUUUCUUCUAUAACCUGCGUGGUCCGUUUUCAUCUGCAGUUGUGCUGCGAUUUGCUGCUGCUGUCUGCUCGACACGUGCUGCUGACACAAGAGUUCGUACCGCCAACACCAGGAUAUCCUACGAUGAUCGAUCUACAUCUACUAGGAGCUGCUCAUAUACAGUUUGUUUCUAUCGUACGUAGUAUUUGUGCUGUUCGGAUCGAGAUUUGUAUGACGGUGUUCGGUGUAGAUCACUGCAUCGAAUUGUACUAUUACCUCCGUUCGGAAAUAAGUGGCGCUGUUUUAGUUUAUAAAUUGUACUCCUAUUACUAGUUAAUUUUGCAUCUUGGUUUUGGCCUCUACUGUAUCAUUGAUAUUGUUAUCUGCUGUUUUCCUGCAAAAAGAAAAUUUGUUAUCGACAGUGGUCUUCAUUUUGUUGGCUACGAAUUACACGCAACACCAGUAUAUAGGGGUGGAAAGUGGUAGCGGAUAAUCUGAAAUAUCCGAUAUUCGUAUUCGAGAAAAUGCCUAUUCGUAUCCGAAACAUCCGCAUCCGAACCAAAAUGGAAAUGGAAAUUAUCCGUAUCCGAAUUUAUUAAACAAAUAAAAAAUAAAAUAUGGUAGGAGAUUUUGACACAAAUAUGGAUAUGGAAGUGGAUAUAUCCGUAUCCGAAUAAGAUUAUGGGAGGUAAUUUUUAAAAUUCUAGGUCCAAUAUUCCAAUUAUCCAACAUAAAAGCCAAAUAAGUGGUCAAAUUUUACUCUUUAUAUGAUUAAACUUAUAAAUUAUUAUGCAUUACAAUAGUAUUUAUUCAUAAACCUAUUUAUCAUUGACUUAUUGUAUGUCACAAGUUGAUUAUUUUAGGUCACAUAGCUAUUGACUAAUUUACUUAAGCAAUAUGUUGAUAUUAUUCGUAUUCGAUCCGAAUCAAGAAAAUAUCCGAUACGUAUCCGUAUUCGAAUAAUAUUCAAGCCGCAUCCGUAUCUGAUAACAUCCGUAUUCGGAUUCGUAUUCGUUUUGAAAAUAUGAAAAUGGAAGUGGUAAGAGCACUAUCCGAUCCGCAUCCGAUCCGUUUCCACCCCUACCAGUAUACCAGGAUUCCAGGCGACAUUCAGAGGUUUCUGAUUGUCUGGUCGAAUGAUUUGGUUCAUGCUCCAGAAUUGUUUUGUGUUGUUAUUUAAUUGCAUGUGUUACUUCCGAUGAUUUGCUUGUUGCAUAUGUUGCAAUUUCUCCAAUUAGUUGUUGCAAAGGGUUAUUUUUCUGACGCAUACAGUAAUUUUUUAUACCACAUGCACGUGUUUAGAAUGAAAAAUGUUGUCUCACGACAAACAUGUUGCAUGGGGUUUUUAAUUUAAAUGGAUGGUUUUCAGAUUGUGAAUUGAGUCAACGGAAAGGCUAGGGAGCUGGCCGGUUGGGUAAAAAUUUGGCCAAGCAUUGGCUUAAGAUACGUGAUUGCAAAUUAACUUGCUCCGUGGCGGUUAUGUUCACACAAAAAAAACUUGCUCCGUGGCGGGCCAUGGUGAGUGUUGAAUGUCAACUAUGCGUGGAUCGUCAAAUUUGACCAGCUAGCUAUCUCGGGAGACACAAUGUCGGAAAUGGCAAGAAUUAUUGUCCUCAUGCAAAAGAACAUAUUGGACACUGCCUUAAAAUAUUGAACUUCACCUAUUACAGAACUCUAAACCUGACCUGUUUCAUUGGGAGGCAUGUUAUCUGAUAUUGUCUUAACACAACAUCUAGUAGUGGAGCAGUUUGCUUGAAAGAGGUUUUUUUCUUUAAUAUGUGCUAUAGCUAAGCAAGUACUACCUCCGUCUGGGUUUAUUAGUCCCCUUUGUAUUUUAUGUCCAAAUUUAACCAUAGAUUUGACUAACAAAAUAUAAGUUGUUUGUCACAAAAGUUAUAUGGUUGGAUCCAUAUUCGAAAGUCGCUUCAAUGAUACUAUCUUUGUGGUGUAUAACUUAUUUUUGAUAGUUAAAUCAAAGGUCAAAAAUUGACCCAAAAUACAAGGGGACUAAUAAAUCAGGACAGAGGUAGUAUGUAUCUACUGUUGGUUGCUUCCUCGUAAUUCGUGCAUGAGAUUAGGCAUAAAGAUUUGUUCUGUAAUUAAGAAAAGUAGAUAAUAGGAAUACAUCGGUUUUCCUAUUUCACACAAGUAAUCCCAUACCUAUGGAAAAAGAAUCGCGAAUUUGAUUAACAUGAUGACGUGAUUGGUUCAUCGUGAAAAUCUGAGAGGCCCGGUGUGGAGAAAAGGGAGGGUUGGGGGAAGAGUGCACGUAAAUUUGUAGAUCCAAGCCUCCAUUGGUUCACAAAAUUAAAAAAUGCAGGAAAGAAAAAAAACAAAAAAAAUUAUAAAAGUGUAUGUGUAAAACAGAGGAUUGAGAAACAUGGAAUUUCGCAAAAUUGGGUAUUUGGUUCAAAUGAAUAGGAAAAACACAUGAAUCCUAAUAAAUAGAGUCAAGUCAAAGUCAAACCACGUGGAAAGGUAUAAUUAACAUGUUUAUUACGCUAUUAAGAAUCUCAAUUUUGUUCUGAUGGCAUGUUGACCGGGGAUCAUCUCCAAAUCCGCUAGAUCCUGAUGUUGUCCUCUUCGUCCAGCGUGAUUGAAGAAGAAGAAGAGUGCCGCCACAAGUCGCCAUAUGCACACCACACUCCAAGACACCCGCAUACUCUGCACAAGCCGACGCUGUUGGGCCGAAGGACGCGGCCGGGAAUCGUGUCCCGCUCCGGCCAAACGGGUCCUUAGAGGCUUUGAAAAAUUCUCACGCCACGCCUAGAAUAUUUCCAAGAGUUGCUUUGAAAACAGAAGCGCGCGCGUUCAGAAGUCUGAAAUUAGGAGGAGGGAGGGAAGCGGUUUCUUGUUCUGGACAACGACGAGGAGGAACCAAAGUAGCAGCCGUCUAGUAUACGUGACGCGAUUAAUCACGCAGAUGCGACCGGCCGGCGCCCCCCUGAUUUGUAUAGUACCGAGUAAAUGAGUGCCAGCUUUGGAUUACGCGUCCAAACAAUCCUAAUUAAUCCGGCAGCACUCCACUGGCAGCAUAUGCCUCGCGGCACAUAGGAUUAUAUAAAGCGCAGGGCUCCGGCGGAAGAACACAUCUCACAAAGUUCAGAUCAGCGCGCAGUGUAGUGUUGCCAAGUAUUUCGUGGGUGGCAUCGAUCGAGGAAGAGAGACACCAUGAGCUACCCGCCGCCGGGCACCGCGUACCCUCCGCCGGGCCAGCAGCAGGCGUACCCGCCGCCGGGCAACGGUUACGGCUACCCUCCUUCGGGCCAGGAGCAGCCGCAGCAGCAGCAGCAGGCAUACCCGCCGCCGGCGUACGGCGCGCCGCCGCCCGUCGCCGCCGACUACUACCAGCCCAAGGACGGCGGCGCGUACCCGCCGCCGCAGCAGCAGGCGUACGGCGCGCCGCCGCCCGUCGCCGCCAACUACUACCCGCCGCCCCAGCAGCAGCAGGCCCCGCCGCCGCCGCCGCCGGAGGCGCAGAGCCGCGGCAGCGACGGCUUCUGGAAAGGAUGGUAAUUCACAGACCACUCGUCUAACACGACACGUACUUGCGUCGUGCAUCAUGCCUGCAUGCAUACCUAACUCCAUUACCCGUAUUAGUAACUGUCCGUCUGAUCCCUCUGCAUGUUUUGUUUGUUCUGAUCUGCGUGCAGCUGUGCCGCAAUCUGCUGCUGCUGCCUGCUCGACAUGUGCCUCUGAUCGAUGUUGCACAGGAUGAUGAUCCACAUGCAGCUGCUCGCCAUCGAUCGGAUCGUCGUUUCCUUGGCACAUCUUGGAUUUGGCUUAAUUCUGUAAUCACCAUGUCGCUCAGUUACCAUACCAAUCAGUCGAUUUGCUUUGUUGCUUCUUUCUUAGCGGAACCCCUCCCUGUAAUUUGUUGGCCAUGAAUUGGAUAUGUCAAGUUAUUUUCAGCAUCCAGUACAUUCUCCAGUUGAGUUUUUGCCAUUGCGAUCAGAGAUGAAACAAAAAAUUGCUGUUCCCCGGAUGUUCCAAAGCAACCUACGGCAAUGCCAAGGGUGCCAAAUGUCAGACACCUCUUUUGUUUGUCCAUAGGUAGAAACGGCAAAUAUAAUAAAUGCGUGCUAUUUUGGAAAUAUUCGAUACUUACAGCUUCAGCAAUGCCGUGAGCUGUAGUAUUACAGUAGCACUAAUAAUAAUAAUAACCAAACUAAUACGGAAAAGCUACUCCCACCUGUCCAUAUUACUAAAUCUGUAGCAACACAGGACAGGUGGCCGGAUCCUAUGGCUUGGACUUAAACAAAAAGAAAUACGAGUAUACUACCAGUAGCAUUUCAAACCAACAGAUAGACACUGUCGAGGUGACAACCUGGUAAUCCACUCUGAUUAUUCCCUUCCUCCUUCGUGCUCAUAGCCAGUGCACCUUGUGCUUCCAAGUUCAGAUAUUUACAAGCACUGCUUAAGUUAUGUAUUUACAGAGACAUAUUCCCUACCUGUCCACAUCUUAUGUGCAUCAACGGUUUACAGUAUGUACAAUCGGCCUAGCUACUUAUGAGUUAUGUAUAUAAAUAUAGUAUGAGCCCGUAGCUAGCCACCGUGGCUGACUCCGACAGCCCUGACUUCCACAUGCUGCCGGCCUCCGCUCUCCGGGUGGACCACCACGGUGGCCUGCGCCUCGUCCAGCAGGCCAUCCUUACCCUCGCGAGACGCAGACAACGCGCCGACCAUGGCGGGGAGCUCGGGCGGCCUUUUGGCCUCGUCGCCGUCGGUGUGGGAGAUGAUCUCCCAGUCCUCCCUGACUGACGUCACGUCCCCGCAUUUCUCGUGGUGCUUCUCGACCUCGAAGAUGGUUGGGAUGACAACAUAGUCGUUGAGCGGGUCGUAGAACGGGUCAGGUUCACCCGCGUGCAGCCAGUGCUGGACUAUGCGGAACACGCGGUGGUCGCAGACGAUGCCUCGGUGGUCAGCAGCAACCCCAAUUCUCGCCACUGCAUCAAGGCCGUCCGCCUGACAAAAGAAAGGAUGAUUACGCCCAUUUUCCACGGUGCAUAUUUCCUUCAUAUGCUCAGUGAGUAAAAAGAAGGGCAAGAAGAUUAUCACACCUUUGCUGAUUCUGCGGGAACGGAUCCAUCACCAUCGACACAGAUGUAUUUACCCUGAAAUAACACAUAGUUCAGACAAAUCAAAUGGGGGCUACUUGGUGCUCCAAGAAUCCCGAAAUUUGGUAUAGACAAAACACAACAUUUACCAAAUGAACUAACCUGAGUAUAUAAGAGGUGACUAAGAUUUGAAAUAGGGUGCCGUUUGCUCCCAUAGCUGCAAAGAGAAGGGUAUUACUAACUUGGCAUACACAUUACACAACUUUAGGUUAUAAGACUUGCUUCAUACAAAAGGCAACAUAUCUUCUGAAACAGGUCACAUUUGAACAAACAUAGCAAGAGAAAGGACAGCCUCUUUUGGAAAAAGUUCAGAACUCAUUUUACUAAGCACUAUUAACCCCAGAACAUGCUAAGGCAGACAACAUCCAGUCAGUUCUUAUUUCUUGAGAAAUUUAUAAAACCCAACUAAUCCAUCAGUCAACCAAACUUCAGUGGAACCAAUCAAAAUUUUAACUGGCACAUGAAAAGAGCUAAAACUAGAAUUAAAACCAGAAGUAGAAAAGAUAGUAAAUUACCAAACAGUAUGAGCAGUGUCAUAAUCAAUCCCGUAAAUAUUGUAGAACUUCACUGAUUUUGGAAGCUUUGCCUGGGAUAAGAUAUCUUGAGUUUCCUUUGCCCAUAUUAAUAUAUCCUCAUUAAGGGGCAGAGGAAUGUGAUUUCCAUCAGCGAUAAUCUGCAAUGAUAAUUUCAUUGUCAGGAAUCUAAGCAUCAAUAGUGGUUAAAAAUUUUUGAAGUGCAAAAGAUUCACCUCAUGCUUGGAAAGAGCUUUUUGAAUCAUCUUUAUUGCUUCAUCUGGUUCAUACGACUCCAGAAUGGCACUUUUCUUACCAUUCUCAUCUGAGCUCUCUCUCCAGAUCUGUAGCAAUGGUGUAUCUUCCCAGUGGUAGGUUGAGCUAGCCAACAACUCGUAUAUUGAUGGGCAUUCAAUCAACUGAAGCACAAAAAUUAUUUUCAGUUCUUUCUCAAAAGGAAAAAUCAUGGUGACUACAUGAAUACAUGCAUUCAAUGAGACAGAUGGAUAGGCUAUCAAAGCAUACCAAUUGCUGCAUAGUCCAUUUGGAAAUGAAGAAUUUUGAUUGCCAUCCUUCCACAAAAGACAUCCCAUUCAGCAGACCACUAUUUAUGUACCCAGGCGCACCUGUCAUGCAGCAGCAAGUUACUUCCAGCUCAAGAUUCAAAGGCAAUCGCAGUUAAAAUUAGUAUCCCUUGGAAUAUUUUUCGUUGGCAUUCAACCAAUGGUUGCACAAUUGGCAGGUAUUCCAUGAAAAAUGAUACAGGUAUCAAGCUUCCACCGUAGCAACUGAGAACAUUCAAUAGAUAUUUCAAGUUUAAUUAAUGUGGAAACAAGAGAGCCUGAGAAUUUAGACACUCAAUCAACUCAAACCUUGAAAUGGUGCAGCAAUUGCAACCCAACUCUUCACAUAUUUUUCAAAGACCUGUUGAAACAAAACCACAUUAUCUAAGCAUGGCACGAAGCAUGACAAACUUCAUCAGAGGCCCAAAAUAUAAGGAGAACCGGAGAAGUACUCACAUCACCAUGAAGAGACAUGAAGCAUUUAACAAGCAAUCCCCCCAUUGAAUGUGUUAUUAGAUUGAUCUUUUUCUCUCCUGAAGCUGUGUAUACUGACUCUAGCUUUUUAGAAAAUUUGUCAAGUGUUUCCGAAAGCCUGCAGAGAAGAAGAGGUAUCAAAAUAAGGGAGGAACUGAAUAAACUGACAUUAUCUGAAAGAAAAAGCAACCCCGUAAAGAUUGUGUUCUAUACACCUACUAGCAUGGCCGCCAAAUAGCAUGACUUUUGGCCAAAAAAAAAACAUAUACAGCUGUACACGGGAUGACAUAUACAAAACAGGGAUACAGAUGCGGAAUUUACCUGUUACUUUGGCGGAAAUCAUAACCAAAUCCAAACAGAGUUUUGCCUUCUUGAUAUCCCCAUUUAAUCAUUUGCACUAUCAUGUCAUGAUAGUAGUAAACACUGUCAUCACCAAUAAUCUGCAAAUUUUUAGAAGUAUAUGAGUGGCGCAUAUCGGAUAUCUGCUGCAGUAACUGAUUUGCUACUGCUAAUAGAGUUGGACAGGACUAAGGUAAAACCAUCAGAUGAUACAUAUAGUUGUACAAUGAUCUAUUGUUCUGACUGCCUGAGACCACAUAAGUAAAUGAAAAGUAAAGGUAAAUCUUCAUUCAGAAAAAACAAAAGUGAAAUAAGUUUGUUACCAGGUCUGGGUCCAAUGUGUCGAUGGCGUACAAUCCAUACCUAUCCUCAGGGACAGUGAUGUGUAUUUUCUCAUCCACGGAAACAGUUUUGCCUGCUCCAUUACAGUAGUUUGGCAUCAAAUGACAUGACGAAAGGAAAUGCUCUGCUGAAUCAGCACUAGAUAACAUGCAACAAGAAGGAACAAGCCUUACGAGUCGGCAGUUUUUCAAUGAAAGUCACUGUAUGUCUAAUACCUACGAGCUGCUCAGAUAACUAAUCCAAACGUAACGAAAACAUUAAUUCAGAUAGAGUAUGCCGAUAUUGCAAGUGUCUACCAAACCACACAAGCUGCAUCAAUUUCCAGAUACUUGCCUUCUAAUCAUCACACAAGCAAAGCGUUCCAGCACACAAAACAGUUUACCCUUCAUUGUUUGCUUACUUUAGAUAAGCAUGUAAAACAAUCAAGCUCAUAUAACGUUCUCGAGCAAUUCAGCAAUCUAUUAACUCAUUCAGCAGGUGACAGACAGAGACAAGGAAGUAAGAGGUGCUCUGCACAUACCCGUGGAGGCAUCGAACUGCGCCCAGAGCUUCUCGCGGCACUCGUGGUCGGCGGCGAGGAUGCGCACCCAGACCCUCUCCUUGUUCCCGGCCUCGUCCACGGCCUCGAGAAUAGAGCCGCCGAUGCCGGGCACGAGCAGCACCGGGUCGAGGCUGGGGUCGACCAGCGGCACCUGCUCCUUGGCGAUCCGCAGCCACAGCUCGAUCGCCCGGAUCAGAUCCUCCAGCACCGACAUCCUUGCUUCCCCGCCGCCCAAAUCCCGCCCUAAGUAAGCACGCUCAAGCCCCCAGCCGCGAGGCCAGCAUGAGAGGGCGAGGCUUCCGGCCGAACCGGGCUCCGGCAAGCUCGAAUCGGAGCGGCACGGGGGUGGCGUGGCGUGGCGUGUCGUCGGCGGAUGGCGGGGAAUCUGCUCCGCGGUGGCUGGAGUAUAUGGUUUUGCCCGGGUUUGGACGGGGGUGGGGAUUCCGGAGGCGUGAGGGUUUCGCAAUCCCGUUCCGUACGCCAGUCGCCCGGGGAGAAAAAAAACAGCGAACGGACGGGAAGUAAGCCACGGUUUAACGCUUCCUCCUCGUGCUUUGCUUACCCGGGCGCCCUGCUAUUUCACUGACAGGGGUACCCGACCCUUGCUGGCCCCGGCUGUCCGUGGGAUGUAGGGCCGUGCGGUGUGGUACGACGGCUCGGGCUUCGGGGAGUUGUAUUUUUUGUACGGAACGAUGCAGGGACUCGCGAGAACAUAGACAGCAGUACUGCGCACGCUCUCUUUGACCCCACGUGUCGGUGUCCAGAGGAGGCUUCUGAACGCACGACUAUUCGUAUUUUUUAAUAUAUGUAUAUAUAAAUAGUCAAAGAUAGACAAGGUUUUUAGUAAGAGAAAAAGAUAGACAUGUUUGACUGAGUAGGGCGUUUCGGAGCCCGGCCUUCGUUGAGACCGGAAUUUUUGAAAAAUCAAAGUUCAAACUUCUCAGUUAAAAAGAAAACUGAAAAAAGUUGUACAUGUAUAGAAGGAUGUGAUGUGUAUGAAAUGCCUUGAAAUGCAAGCUGUGCAAAAAAAACAUGGACUUUGAGGAUGAAUAUUGCAUAUACUAAAAAGCUAUAGAUAUUUUUUCUUUUGUGUAACAUAUUUCAUCUUAAAAAAUUACACGGUUGUACAUUAUAUCUCUAAGAAUAUGUGUAUUUUUUCAAAAAAAACAUACAUGUAUGAAUUUUGAUCAUUUCAAAUUCAGUCUCUAUGGAUGCAGAGCUCCAUUCAGCAUUUUCGUAUUUGACUGUCUUUGUUAGUGUAUUCUUGAACGGAGGUUAGUCUAAUUGAUUUUGGAGCUAGUGACAUUUGUCCAGAUUUUGCAAAAGGGUCUGUCUAGGACAGUGUCACAUCUAAGCUGAUGUCCAUUUUGUUUGUGGUCUAUUUUUUUUGUCCUUAUUUUUUUUUACUUCUUGGUGCUGUAUUAUCUAUUUGUGUGAGUUUAGAUGUGACAUCCUUAAAAAACAUCUAGAUGUGAAUUAGACAAACUAUUCGCAAAAAUAAGAGUGGAAGAUUCCAAACUUCUUUCAAUAGCUUCAGUCGGACAUUUACAAUUUUGAACAGCAUUUUUUCAAAUAUUCUCAUUGGAUCUUUCAAUGUCAUAUGCUUAAAUUUGUCCCAAAAAAUGUCAAUAAGAAUCUAAACUAUCUUACUAUAGUAUAUAAGUUAACGGUCAAACUUACAAUUGGGGAUUCUUUCGACCUCGAAAGUGGCUUCCAUGUCCUUUUAAGACUAGGGGUAACACAUCUAAGAUUCAGUAAUAAUUAUAAGAUCAAUCAUCCCAGGUUCUCAUGUCAAUCCUAUUACAUUCUUUCCCAAUAGAAGAGAUUCAGAUCCAGCAUUAUGUAUACCGUCAAAUUUUACGGGAACAGCAAAACUGCAGUGCUACAAUCCAACAUCUAACAAAAUAAUAUAAAAGUACAUAUCAUGAAACUAUUUUGAAUUUAAUAGAAUUUUUAUCAAAGAAAUCUGAGUAACGAGUGAACAGGAGUACAUCUUAAGAUUUAAUGAUAAUUAGCACAAUAGAAAGAUCAAUCAUCUAGCAACAUCCUACAAGGGGUGAACCAGAGUCUCAUCUGUCCCGGCACAUUGUCUUCUCCAAGAAAAGAGAUUCAGAUUCAGCAUUCUGUAUAUCAAAUCUUAUGAGCACAGCAAAACUGCAGGGCUAUACCACCCAACAACAUCCUACAAGGGCUGAAUCAAGUGCCAUAGUAGUACAUGACAUGAUACGAUAUGCUUCCUGCGAAGCCAAUAGUAGCAGUUAACAUAAACUAACAUUGCAGGUUCAGUUUGCUGAACCGCAGGGGUUCUUCCAUCUACUCGCUUUGAUCGUCCACAGGGCAGGCUCAUCCCAGAAAUGUCAUUCGGAUCAGCGCUUCAUUUCUCCAGGUCUAUGCUCGGCUCCGGGUCGGCUGGAAGGCGCUUCUCCAGGUCCAGGCCCGGUUCCGGGUCCGAGCGAGGCUGCUUCUCCAGGUCCAGGCCCGGUUCCGGGUCCGGACGAGGCUGCUUCUCCAGGUCUAGGCUCAUCAUUUCUGGGUCUGGACGAGGUCGCUCCUCCAGGUCCAGGCUCGGUUCCGGGUCCGGAUGAGGCUGUUUUUCAAGGUCCAGGCUGGACUCCGGGUCCAGACGGAGCCGCUUGGGCUCCCGGUCGCCUAGGUGCAGCGACAUGGCGAGCUCUUCCUCUGACGGGUUGUUCAGGUUGGCGAUGCUCCUCCGAGCAUCGUGGUCACGGCGCACGGGAGACAUGCCAACGAAGUUCGAGAUGAACUGACGCUCUUCCAUGUCGGAGGGUGUGUUGGCUGCGCCCUCCCCUUCGGUUGUGGCGCUUGCCAGGUCAUGACGAGGCAGCUGCUGAAUUUGGAUCCCAAGAGGCUCAAAGAUCUCUUCAACCUUCUCUGCCGGGGUGGCUUCUGGGGCAGUAACAGUCACCGCAGAGGACUCCCCAAUAGCAGAGUUAAUUGCAGCCACAAAGGCUUUUCUUUGCUCCUGCACAGCAUCUUUAUUAUACAUGAAUUACGUCAGCCUUGUACCAUUGGAGCAAACGUAAUUCAACAUUCAAGUAUGAAAUGCCAAUAACAUGAUACUCCAGGAGAACACUGGAACAUGAAGGAAACUGUUGCGGUACUCACCUUUGAGCGAUUCGUCGUUUAUUAUAAGAUCAAGUUCUAGACGAUCAAGAAGGCGGCCAAGAUCAACCCCUGUGGUCCAGUUUUCAGGGCCAUACUCACUUGUGAGCUUUAUCCUCCCACGGUUUGCUGUGCCACCCCAUAUUAUCCCAAUAGGACGUGGCUUCUCCCCAUCCUGGCUGGUCAGGAUAAUAAGGCUUCCGCUGUCACCCUCCAAAUCAAAUGUUUGGCGGUUCUCACCAACGACGAGGAGGUCAGUGAAGAAGCAUAUUCCUUUCUCAUCAUUGUACUCAAGGGCAUAUGCCAUCACAGUCCCAGUUGUGUGACCAGAGCUUCUGCCGACUUUGCAAACUUGCCUCCCGAUGAGGCUCUUGAUAGGACACUGCAGAUCUAUAAUCUUAACAUCCCCAAUCUCACCGACUUCCCUAACUAUAGUUGUGACUGUGGAAAUGUCAAAGUCAUCAGCAAAUGGGAUGAAUGCACCGUCAGCUCGUACAAAUGUCUCUGCAGAUCCACAGAGGGGCAGCAUAUAUGUUUGGGGAUUAGAACAGCACAUAUGCAUCAUAUAAAACUGCACUAAACAGAAGGAGAAGCUUAUAAGUUUAUAAAUUUACAUAUAUAAAACAUAAACUAAGUUUUUUUUGUCCCGUAAACAGAUAUUGUUUUGUUCCUAUGUAGUCUAAAGCAAAAGUUGCUGUUGAACUGACUGACAAAAACUGGUACAAUCAGAAAGACAAGUCCUGCUUCACAAACUUAUCUUUGUGUUCGUGGAAUGCAUUAAUUUAUUCAUUUUAUGAAUUGAAGACAUUGUGUUUAAAUAGAUGAAACAUUAACUAGGCAUUUCUCUAUAACAUAUACUUUGAAGUUCAAUUCUGUGAAUAAUACAUGAAUUCCCUAUAUCAACCAGAUAACUUGUAGCUGCUCUACCUGGGUUUGUUCCAGCAUAAAUUCCAUACCAAACAUCAUCUGUGAUGAAAGAUGUUGCCCUCUCGACAGCCCCAAGAUAAACACCAGGCCCAAGAUUCGGCGGCAACGGGUGAAACAUCUUCUGGUUAGGAUAGUCCAAAUCAACUGCAACAUGUCGGUUCGUGAGGAAACCAACUUGCUUGUUGUUGGUGCGUCGUUUCACAAUUGCACCCAAAGUUCCAAACGUAUCCUGGCUUGCAACCUGAGACAGUAAAACAGCGUAUGGAGAACUCUCAGCAGGAAAUGAGAAGCAUGCCCUAUUGAAUCAUUCAAUGCCCUAUAUGCUGCUCUAACUUCUGGAGUAUAUAAUUCAGUUAUGUUUUGGAAAAAAAAACUGUCAUUCAAAAUAGUACGUGAGUUUUAAAGACGAGUGGUGACUAGAUUUAUGCAGGGGCCCAAUUGUUAAGCUGCAUAUGAUAACUUAGACCAUUCUAGUCAUUAAAUGACACAACGCUCUAGAGACUACCGGCGAGAAAGUUACUUCUGAUUGCUGAUCAGUUCACGAUGGGAUAACUCAAGUUACAUCCAGUUGGCGCUCUAGAGACCACCACAAGAAAAACGAACAAAGAUUUACUUAAACUAAACAAGAACAAAGUUAGCACUGGCAGGACUUCUAGUCGCUCUUUGUUAUGCAUAACAGUGCGAACUGACAUACUCCCUCUGUUCACUUUUAUAAGGAAUUGUAUACAUUUCAGACAGCUUGCAAAACAGCUCAAUUUCAGUUGUUUGAAACGACUUAUAAAAAUGAACGGAGGGAGUAGUAACUAUCAGCCCGUGUCAUAACCUUAUCGUCACUGCAAUUUUAUUCACUUUGUCCAAAGAAUCCUGACAAAAUUUGAACGGCCCACUGGCAAGAUAGAGAGAAUAACUAGCAGUGCAUGUCUGUGCUCAAUCCAAUUUAUACACAUGGCAGCAUUCACUGCUUAAAGAAGAUGAUAUCUAGGCAAUGCAAACCAAUACAGAUAAGAGCAUAGAUGUAUGAACCUGAGAGCCUGAACCAAUAUAUUCGUCACUGCCACACAGCUUAUUAACAAGCUCACUAAACAUCUGUUCUUUAGGUGUUUGAGCCGGUGCACCAUAGUAUGAAAAUUCUACGACAUCGACAUCACACCAAACACCUCCUGGACCCUGUAAUCAUCCAGACAAGUGAAAGAUAUUAGUCGACGACAAAAACGACUCCCAAGUCUGAAAACAAGCCUGUCCAAUAAUAUAAGACAAGAGAUAAAAUGAGGUUCUCGUACCGCAAGAAUCGCAGGAAGGCAUUGGUUCGGAUUAAGCCAUUUCUUGUGAACCUUUCGAGCAACGAAGACAAGAAUGGCGGGGGUUUCUGUGAGAACCCCUUUUGUUAUGCGGAAGCCCACUGCGGUUCCGAGACUGAAACGCUUCAAUAUCUUGCUGUGGAAAGCUCUUAUGGUCAUCAAGUCGAGCAAGCUAUUUGCUUGCUGACCCUUGGGCAACUUUCCAGGGAGUAUCGGCAGCAAUCCUUUCUGGAGGUUCCCAAAGUAGUUUGCCCGUCCCUCCGCCGCACAAUGCUGCAGGUUUGAAGUCGGCCAUAAGAAGUAUGCCGCGCUAUUUUCUGUGUGCACGCACCCAGAAGCAACUGGUUGCAUCGAUGGAGAACAAGGAAAUGCCUCGUGGUGAGAGCAAUGCCCCUCCACGUCAAGCGAUGACUCUUCCGACUGCGUCAAACCUGAGAGCUGCAUCCUGUCAUCUGAAGGCCUCAUUGUGCCGAACAGUUGACAGAUGUGAUGGACAGGAGAAGCUAUGGCCCUAAAAAUGAGAACAAACAAGUCUGAGAACAUAAUCUUUCAAGGUAAAAAUGUCAGGAGACACUGGACAAAUCUAGCAAAUGUGUUUGCGCUCUAUAACUUGCAUCGGACCGGGAAAUAUAUGCUGAAACUAAGAGCAUCCAGGUUAUUAUUAUACACAAGAGAAUAAACAAGUGCUGGUGGAAUAGCCUGAUAUUCUCGGGGAAUAGGUUCUUGCAAGAUUGCAACCACGCAAACAAAAGCUGGUAAUAUCAUAAGAGGAAUCCUCUGUACGACGAAUAUGACCCACUAUAUAUGUGUAUAUUCUUGCUGCGCAUCCGCCGCAGAACCAAGCAGGCAAUAUCAUAAGAUGGUGGAAUCUGCAAAAGCCAGAGGGCGAAGGAAGUCUCCAUCCGUUUGUUCGCGAAAGGCAUGGCACAAAUUCUGCCUUUAAACAGCGGGAAUGGGCAUAAAUCCACAUCACAACUACUUGUGAUGAUAACAAAAAUACCGGCGCAAAAAGGGUAGGGCCUAGACGCAAAUUCAGCAGGCGGCACCGCGGGUGAAGUUUGGCAAAGGCAUCGUGCACUUUGUUGAAAGAGAAAAGGCAUAAUCAAAAUCAGAAGCAACCCGCCGACCAGAAAUCGGGGGGAACAAACAGCAAGCGCUCUCUCCUUGUUCCAGCCAAUAGCAGGCCUGAAAUCGGUUUUGCUGGAGCAAUGCAACUUUAACCUGAAGCUGAAGGCACGCGAGCUGGAUUGGUGCUGGUUGCUUGUAGGAGGAACAGAGCGGCAACGGAAGUCCCCUGGUGAUGAGUCUUGGGAGGCCGAGCUGCUAAGCUUUCCGUGGCAUUUGGCCCCGGAAGCGCGGCCCGCAAGGGAGGCGGAAGGAAAUAAGAAGAGGAACACCUGAAGCUGUUGCUGUGCAGGCAUCAGGAAAUUCCCAUGGCACUGGUAGGGAGCAACAACCUGGUAUUACCAGAUUGGCAAUCCAACCACCAGAGGGACAAGCAGCCCCGCCUAGGAAUGGAAACCACGGGCCGCGAGGAAAAAGGGAUACGAGGGACAGAAAAAGAAACCGGGCAAAUCGAGGAAGACGGCGCAAAGAUCCUGCCGCCCCGGGGGCCAGCGAAAGAUCCGGCCAUCCGGCCUUCGGGUAGGACUCCGGGCAGGGGAGGGAGGGAGGGGUCGGAGCCGCUCACCUGGAGCCGGAGCAAUGGCCGCGGCCUCGCGCCUCGUCCUCCCCUCCUAUCUUCUUCUCCUCCCCGCGCGGGUAUCCAUAAUUGGGGGCGGGGAGGCGGGAAUCUCCACUGUUAUUAGGGGCGAGGCGAGGCCCGGGGGCAGAAGAUGACAGCUUUGCAGUCGCAGGCGGCGUCCCUCCCCUGCCCAGCCCCCCCUCUCACUGUUGGGGCCGUGUGCGCGGCAGCAGCGGCAUGCGUGCGCCGCACAAACACCACAAGAAGAGGCUAGAGAGAGAGAGGAAUGGGGAGGAGGCGCUGGGAAUCUAGGGGCGGGGAGCUCGAUCAGCAGCUAGCCGGUGGUGGUGAUCAUGGCGUGGCGUGGUGGUCACAGAUUGGGGUGCGGUGAACAACAACUUCACUGUGGCGCCGUGUGAUGUGUCGAUCCGUGUGUCGAGCCGGGGCCUGUGGCCGCAUAGUCGUCCGUGUCGCGCGGUGCAACGGACGGCCCGGAUGGGUCGCGGCCGGGGCGAGGGGACGUGGCCCGCUCCUGGCCGCUCGAUCCUGGGGGGUUUCGGCCUCCUUUGAACAAGGUGCACUUUUGGCCGUGUCAUGUCACAUAUAUUAUCGACAAUGACAAUAUGAAAGUGAUAGGGAAAAUGAAGAUUAAUGGAGUUGACCCGUCGUAGAGGGUCGGAUGUAAACACAUUUUUCUAACAUGUAUUUGGGAUAACAAUUAAUAAGAUUUAAACGCAAGAGUACUGGACUAAGGCCCAAUUCUUUUGGUGGCUUCUAAAGUACUAAGCGGCCCUUGCAAGCUUAUUUCAUAAGCCGUCCCCAAAGAACCAGACCUAAGAAAUUGAACUUGAUAUGUAACUAUCCAAAUUUGAUGCGGUCUUAAAAAUACUAUGUCUCCGCUCAAAUUUUCCAAUGCAAAUAUGUUAUUUUACUGAGUGACUAUAGCUCAAUCUCGUAGUUGGAUUGGAUGGUUAAGAACAAUUCUUUCUUGGUAGCUUGAAUAUUUGAUCAAAUGUUAUUUGAUAAUCUAGGCUCCCAAAUGAUUGCCACAUCACAAGUGAAGGAAAUAUGCUAUUUUUUGUAAGUUUGUCGCAAUUGCUAUUUUUGUGGACCAGAAAUAGUAACAUUUAUAUGAGCCAGAAAUAGUAACAUUUAUGUGGGUCGAGACAAAAGAGAUAGUAACAAGUGGCCUGAUCAUUUUUUUGCUUUAUGGUGUGGUGCCAUAUUUAUGGUGUCUAGCUCAUGAAAAGUCCCUAUGUUCUAUUCUAUAGCUUCAUCAAAUAAAAGUGAAAAAGGACACAUGCAUACUAUUCUGGCACUAUAGAACAAUUUCAUAGCAAUGUAAAACAUUAAACACUCCCAAUACUGGGUUUUAUGCAUGUUCUAGUAAAAAGGGUGAAAGUGCAUCUAAUCCCCAAGGGGAAUUUUGGUAAUUUAUAUCAAGAUAUCUCAAAGAACUAAUGCUAGUUUAAAGUAUACUUCAUCCGUUCCAAAAUAUAAGUCUUUUUAUAGAUUUUAACAAGUGACUACAUAUGGAGCAAAAUAAAUGAAUCUAUACUCUAAAAUAUGUCUACAUACAUCCGUAUGUUGUAGUCCAUUUGAAAUGUCUAAAAAAACUUAUAUUUAGGAACGAAGGGAGUAUUUCAGAAAACAACAGGAAUAGCGUUGGAAUGGAAGGUGAUCACUAAAAAUGCUUAAAGACAAUUGUUGGACAAGCCAAAGGAUUCUUCUUUUUUCCGUGAUCCAAUAUCGCAUUGAGUAUAUAGGCAUGACGAUACUAUCAAAAUGGGAUGAGGACUUGUGAGCCUUUUGCUCCAUGUGCUUAGAGAUCAAACUCCUUCAAGUUUUCGACUAUAUCUCCUAAUGACAUGCAACUCGAUGAUGCCAAAGCACUUCCACUCGAAACCACCAUACCAUCCAGAUAUAGUCGUUGUUCCAAACCCUAUUUCAAUCGACGCCUCAAGCAUCCCAUUCAGAGCCACCGAAGAAACCUCAUAAACCUUCUAUUGUCACGUCAGAAAUUCUGAGCCAUUCUAGUUGAAACUUUUGAAGUGCUGACAAUGAGUGUACCACCACUGAGGUACUCACUUCAGAACCACUGAUUGAUUUCCAUUCAAACCUAUCGAUGCAUAUGAAACUUUUCACUUCUGAGCCAUCGAGCAACACCAAUCGGAGUCUCUGAGUUGUGCAAAAAGGUGAGUAAUGGUCAGAUUCUUGGCCCGGUUUAUAUAUACCCCUAGCUAUCCUACUAGCUCAUCUCGAAGCAAACUCCACUUCCAUCAUUUGUUCUGAGAAAGAACGCCACCUCCUUGUGUUGGUUUCAAAGUACUUUCUACUCCGACCAUCCAAUCAAACCCUUUGAUAUAAAACCCCCUCUUUGUUUCCACUCCUACUUCUCCAAAUCCAUAGCUAAAUCUUGAACAUGUUUGAGUGUUGAGUAGAUUAUCUUUUGAAGCGCAUCAACAAGGGAUUUAUUGUCAACAACCUCUAUCUUGUUACUUUGGGAGGGUGUGCACCUCCUGGAUCGGCUAUGUGUUGCUUGGGAGUCUUCAACUUUGUGAAGAACCCAAAAAAGUUUGUAUGGGUUUAGAGACCGCGUACUUCGCGAAGGUCUACCCUGGUGAGGCUAGUACUUCGUGGGCAUAAGCCAUGGUGGAAUAGUUUGGUUGCUAAUUCGUGGAGCCUUCAUGGGCAUGUCCUUCAUGGACAUUAUUCCUUUGUGGAAUUUUGCAACCGAAAUCCUUGUGAUCUUAGAUCCUUCCUGGACAAAAGCCUCCAUCAACGUGCAUGUAAGAUGGCGUCAAUUAUCCAAACCACGGGAAAAAUCUUCAACAAGCCAAUUGCGCUUGCGAUUUUCACAACUCUGCCUCUCUUACUUUGUACUUGCAUGUCUUUACUUUCCACUGCCUAUAUUCUAGACUUGCAUGUAUAUGGUGCUCUAUAGAUUGCUAGAAAAGCCUAAAAUCUGCCAAGAAAUUAAAACUUGGGAACAUAUUCCAUUAUUUUCCUUAGUAGUCUAUUCGACCACUUCCCUCUAUACAUACUUACCAAUCCUACAAAGGGGUAACCUAAACCAAAUGCAACUUGCUAUUUUAAGAGGUAGGCCUCAUCCGGUCCAUAAGAUAGAAAAAUCAUGGGAAUAGGAAAGUCAUCAGAGUUCCUAUAAGAAAAUAUAUGUCACUUGGUUCAUGGGAUACGAAUGUUUCCAUUGGGUCCGAGCUAAAAUAAUUCCUUUGAAAUCCAAAAGACAUGAAGCAAUCCUACAUAGGAAUAGGAAUCCACACAUAUGAACCAAAUAGCUCAAUAGGAAUUUUCCUUUAGCAAUAUUAUCCUAUAGGAUUCCUAUAAAUAAAAGGAGGCCUUAAUGUGUGCUGUAUGAAAUAGAAUGAAAGAAAAAGUGGACAUGACUCAAUAUAUCGUUUGUGCAUCUUUCGUUUCUAUUCAUCCGCAAGUGGUAUGAAUACAACAUAUCCUAGACAUGUUUAGUGUCAAAUCUUGUCGCACACCAAAUUGAAUAACUUUCUUUUUAAUAAAAUUUGGGCCACAUAUAUUUGAGGCCAACACUGUUAGCACUAUUAUACAACUAUAUGGAAUCAAAUGUGUUAUCUGCCACACUGCUUCACGUUUUAUUGAUUUUUCAAAAUUUCUGUGGAACCUAGUAUAUUUCUUAACAAGUCAUCAAUUAUGUUAGAAAUGAAGGUGUACCUUUGUUUGCCAGGUGAAAUAUGAAUGAUUUUCCAAAAUGGAACUAGCUAACACUUUUUUUGUUAAGCUAGGUUGUUGAACAUUUUCUAGUUUACAUUGGUCGAAAGACUACUUGUUUCCCUUGUCUUGAUUUUUUGGUCGGGUUGCUUUAUGUGUUUCUAGAGAAAACACAUAACAAUACAUUCUUUGACCCCACUAAUUUAAAAGUGAUAGAAACAUAACAACAGUUCCAUACUUCAAAACUAUUAUUCCUAUGACAAAUAAAAUACUAGGCAUAAAUGUGGAUGCAUGCUUUUGCCGAAUGUCUAUGGAAUGUUAAAAUGGUCGAUCUUCAACUUCUCAUCAUAUAUACAUAACAACAGAAAAAUGAAACAUAUGUGUGAUACGUGGCUGGAUCAUAGGACCCUUUUAGUCCCGCCACGUAUAUAAUUUUAUGGAGGAUGAUAAUAUGGAGAGAAUAUAACAAAAUACAAGAGUUGACUCAUUGUGGAGGGUUGAACUUACAAAGAAUCAUAACUUUGGUAGCACGUUAAACAUUAUUUUCUAACAUACAUGUCAGAUAACUGGAUUUAAAUAAGAGAGUGACAACCUUACGGAAUGGAGGACUUGAUGUGAACUUACAAUUUUCCACUCAAAUUUUGCAAAACAAAUGUCUAACAUUUGUCAAGGUAUUGUGGCUCGGUUGACUAUUCAAAAAUAUUUAUUUCUUGGUCGGUAGUAAGUUCUUACUGUUCUUUCUUGUGGGAUAUUGUUCUUUUUGUGCUUGCACAGAGCUUGUGUUUAAAUCAAAUGAUCUUAGUUGUGACUUAGCAAUAAUUAUAUCUCGGUCCCCAUUAUCUUAAUAACAUAGGCUCCAGUAACAUUGUUAUAUAAGAAAUAAAUGAAACUCAUAAUUACUAAUAAUAUUUUUUGGGGGUAGUAAGUUUGUUGCAACUUCCUAUAUGCCAAUCAUAAAUAGUACAUAACACUUGUGUUCAUCAAGAUAAACUAGACAUGACAAUCAACCUAUGCCAUAUUGCUUUACUGAUUUGACUUUAUUUAUUUUCUUAGUACAUCUGGUUAUCAAUUCCAUGAAAAAUGCUUAUGUUACAUCUUACAUCUUCAAUAAACAUUAAUAAAAGAUAAUGUCAUCAAAACAUGUUCUGGCUUACAAAUAAUUGGAUAGAAACUAACAUGAAACAUGCUGAUGUGAAGUUCUUAUAAUGAUUUGGUGUAAAUAACAAAAAUAAUUGCAGUAUGCUAUAUGUGUCCAAGAUAAUGUGUAUUGGAUGGAACACAAUGAAACAAAAACCGAAACACAAUGCAAGCAAAAUCGAUCUGGCUCACUUUUAGUAACAUUAAAACAUCUUUGACUCUUCUUUUCUCUAAAAGUGUCCCCAAUCAAAACAUCUUUAGGGAUGUUUAAUGCACAUAUAUUCGAGCCCAACAACGUUAUAUGCAACCAGUGGCGGAGCUACCCAAAAAAUGUUGGGCGGACCGGAUAGUGCAAAUAGCGCUACCAAAUUAAAAACCAAUGCAUUAUUGUGGGAUUAGCUUUAUGUAAAACUCCUUUUUGAUACGGCCCAGGGUGGCCCAUGGCCCUUUGAGCCUUGCCAUAGCUCUACUGGUGUAUGCAACUAUACAAAUGUAGAUGUGUUAUCUACCAUAUUUCUACAUUGUUGUGGAACAUCCUCUAUUAUUCUUUUGACUUUUCCAUGUUUCUACAUGAUAACGAAAAUGUUCCUUUUACAAUAUGCUACCAUAUGCCUUAUAAAUAAAGGUGUCAUGUCGCAGGCACAUGACAUGUCAAUGGCAAGUAGUUGACAAGUAGCUAGCAACCACUUUUGGAUGAGGUUGUUGCAAAUUUUACUAGUUUGCGUGAACAAAAACAUUGCUUGUUUUGAUUGAAUUACAUGCGCCAUCUAAUUCACUCCAAAUUUAAAAUUCAUGGAAAUGUCAGGAGAUAUACUUAACACUCGUCACCACAUCUAGCUAUAUCAUGUAGUAUUAGAUGGGAUCAAUGUAGGCCCCAAAUAUGUCUAGUCUAUGCCAGGUCUUAGCUGUGGGGUAAAUGUAGACUACAUUUUUUAAAUAAAUUAUUGCCUUGGUCGGAUCUUAAACUCAAGAUGUCUCGGCAUUGAUACCAUAUUGAAUUUCUUGCAAGAGGAUGUUUGACCAAAAGUCUGAAAUGUUGAUGAAUCAUAGGCAAAAAAAUUAGUGUUUUUCCUAGUGUGAUUAUUUCCUGGGUUGUUGUCCAUCACAUCGAACUUCUUGAUUUUAGCAUGUAAAGUCAUAACUCUACAAUAUUGUUCAUAAAUAUUGGCACAUUAUUUCUCUAAAUGAGUCACAAUGUUAAAAUUAUGGUCCUUUUCAGCUUCUUCGCAUGCAUACAUAAUGUGCGGAAAGAAAUAAUCAAACCAUUUUUCAAACAAAUAACAUAUUUUCAUAACACUAUACUGGUGUUGCAUUCUCCUUUGUCGGCACUUUAAGAAGACAACAACAACUCUUAGAGUGAAAUAAAGUAAACAAAAAGUUCACCCAAAAGUUAAGUGGCAAACUAAAGGAAACAAAUGCAUGUAUAAGCCAACAUAGACGUAACAUCGUGUCUCCAUAUUUUCUUCUCUCUUCCUCCUUAUAGUCCCUUCAUUCAGGUUUAAAGGGUCGUCCAGCCACCAAGCCAUGUUUAGAAAAAUUAGGCCCCACGUGCUAAACAUGCACCAAUAUAUGUGUUUUUCUAUUCUCUACUCUCUAUGUUGCGUCUUGUUUUCUGUGCAUAAUUAGGAGGCUUGCAUGCAUGUGAGUGCAUGCAAACUGUACCUACAACCCGCCUCAGCUAGUCAUAGUGGGAGUAACUUAGAUAGUAACAUAGCGCACUUCGAGAAAUUUUGCUUAUGUGACAUGUAGUUACUGAGAAGUGGUAACAUAAUAUGUUACUGUAACAUAGCGCUUACCAAGACAAGAUGAGUCUACAAGCCAUUAAAUAAAGUUACAUAUGACACUACUAGUAUGUUAUUUUGCACUAUGAAGAUAAUAACUUAGACUAGUGUCAUAUGCAUGACACUAGUAUAAGUUACUCCCCACUAUGACCAGCCUCAUGCUAGUGCCUCGUUUCCUGCGUGUGCAAUUAGCAUGUGUUUGAUAGGGUGCAUGAGGACAAAAGUUUCCUACUCAAUCCAUUUUUGGGUGUUUGGUAGCCUACACGGGUCCUCCUCAGCAUGCAGGAGCUCAACCCAAAUACCCUCCUAGCAUCCACAAGGGAGAACACCCAAGCAGCUGUUCGCUGGUCAGCAUGCACGAGUGAAGCGAGCGAUGAUGUGUUUCAAAAAAUCUACAAAAAAUCAAUAUUUGUUUUUUUUCAAAAAAGUCCAUAAUUCCAAAUUUUGUUUAAAUUUGCAGAAAAUGUUCAGAAUUCAUAAUUGAUCAAAUAUUUAAAAAAAAUCAGGUUUUUCAGAAAUGUUAAGAUUUUUUAAAAUAUUCAGAAUUCCAAAUUUAGUUCAUUUUUAAAAAAAAAAACCAGAAUUUCAAAGAUUGUUUAAACUUUCAAAAUUCCAAAUUUUGUUCAAAAUUAAAAAAUGCAAAAAAAUUCAGUAUUUAAAAUUUUGUUCAAAUUUUAAAAAAAAUGCAAAAAAGUUCAGUAUUUCAAAAAAAUAGUAUUCAAAUUUUGUUUAAAACUUUAAAAAAUGUUGAGAAUUCCAAGUUUGAAUAAUUUGUUUUUAAAAAUGAUUAAAUAUUUCUUUUCAUAUUUUCGAAAAUUGUUCACGGUUUUCAAUUUUUAUUCAUCAAUAGAAAAACAUUCAUAAUUCGAAUUUGUUCAGCUUGUCUGAAUAGAUGUAUAGUGUGAGACAAAGUCUCAGCUCAAGAUGUCUCAGCACAUACGACGCUACCAAACAACAACAAAUACAUGUACUUAGCAUGCAUCAGAGGAAAACAAUCAUGCUACACUUAAAGGUUUGCAUGCAAGCCGCUGUGAAGCGAAAGGCUCAUCAUUUUUCAUUUACUGUAAGCUGGAUUAAAGGUCGGUGAUUGGUCGGUUUAAGCUGUAAUUUUCACACACAUCCUUUCAGCAGCGCCUUGGUCCUGCCAAAAUGUUCGUUGAGCUUAAGGCUGGUCAUAAUGGGCAAGAACAUAAGCUAGUAACUUACACACUUCCCUAGACUAUGUUACUAUCUUCAUAGUGGAUAGGAACAUCUAUAUAGUGUCAUGCAACGAUGUAUUUAUUAGGUUAGACUCAUUGUUUUUUGGAGUGUGUGAUGUUCUGGUAACUUAGCUAGUUACCACAAGCACCUCUCUCUUCAUUAAAUAUGUGUCACAUAAGUAAAGUUGUAUUGGAGUGUGUGAUGUUACUCCUAAGUUCCUCCUCAUUGUGCACGGACAGAGGUAGGCCUUGUGACGUAUCGACGCCGCCGCAAACGCAAACGCCAUGAUGAAUUGAUGUAUGUAAACAUCGACAUGUUGCACCCUCCGAGAGAUGCGUCUUGCGCUCUUGCUGCGCCUGAAACGGCGUGGGAAGGACGACGUACCCGCUGCCCGAAACUUGAACCGCAACCGGCCAGCCCAGCCCCGGUCCUGAACCCACUUGGUACGUCGCCACGCCAAACGGUCGCAGCCUUUUCUCGUCCACCAGUCUCUCUGAGGCUCUGAGCCCCCGCGCGCGCACGGUCGGCGGCCCCGGCCCCAUGAUGGCCGUCGUACAGCCUCCUGUAGCCAGAAAGCGCCCGGACGCUGCCGCCGCGCCCGUGGCCGCGCGACGCCCACGUCGCCCCCGCCCCCCGCCGCUGCGAAAAGAGAGAGAGAGUUAUUGGGAUGGGCUCUGCUGCCGCCGCGCCUGCGCGUGAAAUUAAGAGUAACCGGGCGAGCGAGCGAGCGUGCAGUGGAGCUGCGGAAGGGAAGGGCCAGAGAGAAGCGACGAGGGCGGGGCGGUGCGGCGCGGGGCAGGAUAGGGUUGGGCUUUGCGGCAGGGUGGGAGACCACGCUAGUAGUUCCACGUAGUACGAGCGCAGCUAGCCUUAGCGCCAUUGCCUCCGUGCUUGCUUGCCGCUCCUUUGACCGCGCUGUGACUGUGAUAUCCCCCAUUAAUUCAGAUCGCCAUCAUCAUGGCCAGGGCAGGCCAGCUGAUCCUCCUUUGAUUUGAUUUGGCGCCACCCCGCAUCGCGCAACAGUGGCACGUUUCCUCUCUCCUCUCCUCUGGUCCACUUGGCGGCCGCCCGGUCUCGGAUCCGACGCCCGGGCCACGAGCUGGGCGGACGGCGCGCGUCCGAUCGGGAAUGGGCGAGUGGGAUCGGCUGCCCGAGACCCGCGAGCGGGAGUGGAGUGCUACUCUGGCCCCGGUACGUGCACUGUACUUGGAGAUAUUGGUGGCUGCAUGAAUGGGCGUGCCGGAAGAAAGCCUAGCCUAGCGAAUGGGGGUGGGGGACCGGGGUAGGAGUAAUUUGACGUUUAUCUGCCGCACACCCGCGUGUACCACAGUAAUGCCCUGUGAGAUUCCAAGUGUCUUUUCGUACUACUCAUAGACUUCUCAUGAGUGGUAGAUUUUUUUAGUCUCGUUUAAAAUAGUACUCCCUCCAUUCACAAAUUUAUGCUGUUUUGAAUAUUUUAAUACAAAUUACAUACGGAUAGAAAUGAGUCAAUAAACACACUAAAACAUGUUUACACACAUUUGAUUUACAAAAAUGUAAAAAAAAGUUAUAUUAGUGAACGGAGGUAAAUGUACUUUCCAAUGGCCGCCCUUGCACGACUAGCUACAACGGCUAUUGUCCCCAGCCUCCUACCUCCGCCAACCAACCCUACGGACUCAUUUGUUCAUAGGAAAAGUGAAGGUAAAUUGUAGUAAUAGAAGAAAAAAAAUCUAUGAUGAUAUUGUUUAUGUGUUUGGGUUAAAGGAAUGGGGUAAAGAAAUAAUGGAGGAAAUUUUCCUUUGGACCCAAUCUUAAAAGAAAAACAAUUCUAAACUCUGUUUGGACCUCCUUUUCAAAUUCCUUAAUGACAUAAUAACAUUCUAGCUAUACAGAUAAAAUUUAACUUGACUAUGUAUUUGGAUUCCUGUGAACCAAACAUCUAAUUUGACAACAUUCAUGUGCUUAUCAUCCCUUUAUUUUGCACAAGCUAUAUAUAGAGGUACUACUACUAGCAGCAGCAACAACAACUACAAGUCGCAAAAAAAGAACAAAUAUAACAACAAAUUCAUACGCUAUGUAGAUGUGGUGGUUUCCCGCGGCUUGGUUGUUGUGCGUGCCAGCAUGCAAUGGCUGCCUGUAAUGGGUUUCAGCCGCUUGGCCUGCCAAUCCAAGGCUCUUGGUGGCUUGUCCCAGUGAGCGGCGAUGUGGUGGUCGUUGUUUUGACCUGGGGCCGUCUUUGGCCAUGGUGGUAGGUAGUACUCCCUUCGUUUUUAUUUAGUCUGCAUAUUAGCUUUGGUCAAAGUCAAGCUUUAUGAACUUUGACCAGAUUCAUAAACAAAAAUAUUAACAUAUACAAUAAAAAAUCAAUACCACUAGAUUCAUUAUUGAAUGUACUUUCACAUCAUAUAGAUUUGUUAUGGUAAAAUAUUUAUAUAUUUUUCUAUAAACUUGGUCAAACUUUACAAAGUUUGACUUUAGUUAAACCUAAUAUGCAGACUAAAUAAAAACGGAGGGAGUAGCGUCGCUCCUGCGUGAGUACCAGGGGCGAAACCUCAAGCAGUCGGGCCGGCCCCAACCAGAAGUGUGGGAGCAUGGUGAUGGUUCGCUAUGGGAAACAGGACGUGCUCCACCGGCCCUUGCCCCAAGCCGUUGUCACCAAUGGCUCCCACCAAGGAUGGAUCAGCCUCACCAAGGACGCGUGCAUUGGCUGCAAACGCCAACCUAGACGACGCAGAAUAAUGCGAUGACACCGUGACGACUACGAGCGGCAUUUUAGACAAUGCAGAAUGAUGAGACGACGGUGGCGAUAGCCCUGCACGUGGCAGACCUGGCACACUGUGUUCGAUGCGCACUAGCAAUCAUUUGGCUGCCGAUGCAAGUAUUCGAUGUUGAUGGUUGGUCAUGCCAUUGGUAUCUACUCCCUUCGUUCCUAAAUAUUUGUCUUUCUUGAUAUUUUAAUAAAUGACUAUAUACGAAGCAAAAUAAGUGAAUCUACAUUUUAAAAUAUGUCUACAUACAUCCGUAUGUGAUAGCCAUUUAAAAUGUUUAGAAAGAUAAUUAUUUAGAAACAGAGGGAGUAGCUGACAUCUUGCUAGGCGUCAUCUGUUCACACAAGGGACCCGAGGGCAAUGACCAUGAGGACGUAGUGGAUGUUGCAGGCCGGUUCACGUCGAUGUGAAGUACGACACAUCGGCUUCACAUCAUGGCCGACCCCUCGAUGACUGUGUUGAUGGUCUAUGCUGGGAACAUACCCCUCCCCAAUUUGCUAGCGCCACUACGACUUGGCUUGGAGUAUUGGCAGACGUGACUACAGAGGGUUCAUUUUCAAGAAGGUGAUUAAAACACCGCUUCAUGUCCGAGAUGAAAACACUUUGUCUGGUCUUUAAUGGCCGAGCUCAGCGGGGAUGAAUUUGUGUCGCUAUCGUGUUGAAUGUGUUGUCUUUUUGUUGUUGUGCUGACCUUUAGUGAUUGACCGCGACACUAAAAUGAAAAUCCUUGUCCUGGCCAUCUCGGGCCGAGCGUGAGAAUGUCGUGAGAUUAUUUAUCCUUCUUGAAGACAUUGUUGUGGAUGAAGUCGACUUAGUCAUAAGUAUUUUAUUCAUAUCAUGUAACGAUUCUAUCAUAGUUGGCUUUAUUUUGUAGUAUUCCACUUGUUGAUAACUUUAUUCAUAUCAUGAAUGUGUGCAUCACAAUGACGUACAGGUCGGGCGUUUCAACUUCAUUGUUGGAUAAAAGUGGAAAAUGCGGAGGUGUGGGUGAACCAUUAAAACCCCUAAAAUCUCACAAGUUCUUUGGAUGUACAAAAAAAAUUCAUUUUGUACUCAGAAAUUAAAAUGCAACCUCUUUCAUCAUUCCAUGACAGUAUGGGUGUGCGGAGAUGGCCCACAUUUUCCCUGUGACCUUUCAUUCAUCCGAUCUUUGGAGGAUGGUGAACAGCGCAUGUUGAAAACUUUGGACUCAUCUCAAUAUGUUAUUAUUUAAUAGUAUAGGUAAUGAAGGUGGUGCAUGGAAUGUGGUACACUUUUGGAUUCACCCACAUAUGUAGGCUUUAAAAUGGCAUCUGUUCCUUCGGCCCUUGUCAUCCAGCUGUCACCUACAAAAAGUUCACUUGGGGAUCUCGUGGAAGAAUGAGUACCACGUGGGUCUAAGAGCAUGUACAGCUGUCUCAAACCCGUCUCAUCUGUUCGGGCGGGCCGCCCGGUCACUAUCCAAUCAUGUUUUUUUAUCCAGACAGUCUCCUCAAACUGCCCUCAAACGCUCGGUCUGACCUCAUAUCCAGCCCAAAUAUGAGACGGAUAUGGGACGUCCGGGCACGCUCACCACGUCGGACCCGAUAGCCCGACCCCAUCCCAAAGUACAUCAAAUCCAUCCCAGAGCUGCCGGAUCCAUUUGCUCUUUCCUAUCUUCUUCCUCCUUCGCGCCGUCCGGCUCGCAGCUCCGCCGCCGUGCGCGCUCCGCAACCGUUCCUAGCCUCUGCGCCAGCAGCUCCGGUGGAGCAGUCCUCUCUCCCAUCCUCGCCGUGAGGGACGUCAUCUCCGUCCGGACGCCACCGAGGUACGUCCGGCAACUCUAUGACUCCGCCUUGUGCUUGAUGUGUUCGACACAUUGUCUGACCGGAUUUUUUGUAAUUUUGUUAGGGAAAACGAUGGAUUCCGAUGCUUCGUCGGACGAGAGUAUGGAUAGAUGGAGCUUGACCAAAUGAUUCAGGAUGAAUUUUUCGAUUCCUCAGAUUCGAACGAAGAAGUGGACAUGACCAUGCUCAUGAGCAUGCAAGAGGAAAUGGACCGCCAAGUGGAACAUAUUCUCAACUUCAAAGGCUUAAUCAAAGAAAGAAGAAUGAUCGAUCGAGAUAGGGUGUGAUAACCCACAAGUAUAGGGGAUCGCAACAGCUUUCGAGAGUAGAAUAUUCAACCUAAAUUUAUUGAUUCGACACAAGGGGAGCCAAAGAAUAUUCUCAAGUAUUAGCAGCUGAGUUGUCAAUUCAACCACACCUGGAAACUUAGUAUCUACAGCAAAGUGUUUAGUAGCACAAUAAUAUGAUAGUGGUGGUAGCGGCAACAAAAGUAAUGUUUUUGGUAUUUUGUAGUGAUUGUAACAGUAGCAGCGGGAAAGUAAAUAAACGUAAACCAGUAUAUGGAAAACUCGUAGGCACCGAAUCAGUGAUGGAUAAUUAUGCCGGAUGCGGUUCAUCAUGUAACAGUCAUAACAUAGGGUGACACAGAACUAGCUCCAGUUUAUCAAUGUAAUGUAGGCAUGUAUUCCGUAUAUAGUCAUACGUGCUUAUGGAAAAGAACUUGCAUGACAUCUUUUGUCCUACCCUCCCGUGGCAGCGGGGUCCUAUUGAAACUUAAGGGAUAUUAAGGCCUUCUUUUAAUAGAGAACCGGAACAAAGCAUUAGCACAUAGUGAAUACAUGAACUCCUCAAACUAUGGUCAUCACCGAGAGUGGUCCCGAUUAUUGUCACUUCAGGGUUGCCGGAUCAUAACACAUAGUAGGUGACUAUAGACUUGCAAGAUAGGAUCAAGAAGUCACAUAUAUUCAUGAAAACAUAAUAGGUUCAGAUCUGAAAUCAUGACACUCGGGCCCUAGUGACAAGCAUUAAGCAUAGCAAAGUCAUAGCAACAUCAAUCUCAGAACAUAAUGGAUACUAAGGAUCAAAACCUAACAAAACUAACUCAAUUACAUGAUAAAUCUCAUCCAACCCAUCACCGUCCAGCAAGCCUAUGAUGGAAUUACUCACGCACGGCGGUGAGCAUCAUGAAAUUGGUGAUGGAGGAUGGUUGAUGAUGACGACGGCGACGAACCCCCCUCUCCGGAGCCCCGAACGGACUCCAGAUCAGCCCUCCCGAGAGGUUUUAGGGCUUGACGGCGUUUCCGUAUCGUAAAACGCGAUGAUUUCUUCUCUUUGAUUUUUUUCUCUCCAAAAGCAAAUAUAUAGAGUUGGAGUUGGCGUCGGAGGGCAUCCAGGGGGCCCACGAGGUAGGGGGGCGCGCCCUAGGGGGGGGCACCCUUGUGAGAAGGGUGUGGGCCCCCUGGUCUUCAUAUUUGGCGAGGAUUUUUUGUUAUUUUUUCUAAGAUGUUCCGUGGAGUUUCAGGUCAUUCCGAGAAUAUUUGUUUUCUGCACAUAAAACAACACCAUGGCAAUUCUGCUGAAAACAGCGUUAGUUCGGGUUAGUUCCAUUCAAAUCAUACAAGUUAGAGUCCAAAACAAGGGCAAAAGUGUUUGAAAAAGUAGAUACAACGGAGACGUAUCAACUCCCCCAAGUUUAAACCCUUGCUUGUCCUCAAGCAAUUCAGUUGACAAACUGAAAGAAAGAAAAACUUUUACAAACUCUGUUUGCUCUUGUUGUUGUAACUAUGUCAAGCCAGCAUUCAAGUUUUCAGCAUAGAUCAUAACUAACCACAUUUGCAAUAAUUCUCAGGUCUCAUAAUUACUCAUAUCAAUAGCAUAAUCAACUAGCAAGUCAUAAUAAUAAAUCUCGGAUGACAACACUUUCUCAAAACAAUCAUAAUAUGAUAUAAAAAGAUGGUAUCUCGCUAGCCCUUUCUAAGACCGCAAAACAUAAACGCAGAGCACCUUUAAAGAUCAAGGAGUGACUAGACAUUGUAAUUCAUGGUAAAAGAGAUCCAAUCAUAGUCAUACCCAAUAUAAAUUUAUAGUGAUUAAUGCAAAUGACGGCUGUGCUCUCCAGCUAGUGCUUUUUAAUAAGAGGGUGAUGACUCAACAUAAAAGUAAAUGGAUAGGCCCUUCGCAGAGGGAAGCAGGGAUUUGUAGAGGUGCCAGAGCUCGGUUUUGAAAUAGAGAUAAAUUGUAUUUUGAGCGGUAUACUUUCAUUAUCAACGUAACAACUAAGAGAUGGCGCUAUCUUCCAUGCUAAACACAUUAUAGGCGGUUCCCAAAUAGAAUGGUAAAGUUUAUACUCCCCCUCCACCAACAAGCAUCAAUCCAUGGCUUGCUCGAAACAACGAGUACCUCCAACAUACAUCAGGUCCUAGGGGGAGUUUUGUUUGCAAUUAAUUUUGAUUUAGUUUGCAUAAAGCAUGGGACUGAGCAUCCCGGUGACCAACCAUUUUCUCGUGAGUGAGGAGCGGAGUCCACUCCUCUUGAGAAUAACCUGCCUAACACGAAAGAUAAGGACAGCCUUGGUUGAUACAUGAGCUAUUCGAGCAUACAAAACAAAAUGUUUAUUUGAAGGUUUAGAGUUUGGCACAUACAAAUUUACUUGGAACUGCAGGUAGAUACCGCAUAUAGGAAGGUAUGGUGGACUCAUCUAGAAUAAAUUUGGGGUUUAAGGGAUUGGAUGCACAAACAGUAUUCCCGCUUAGUACAAGUGAAGGCUAGCAAAAGACUGGGAAGCGACCAACUAGAGAGCGACAACAGCCAUGUACAUGCAUUAAAAUUAAUAAACAUUGGAUGCAAGCAUGAGUAGGAUAUAAUCCACCAUGAACAUAAAUAUCGUGAAGGCUAUGUUGAUUUUGUUUCAACUACAUGCGUGAACAUGUGCCAAUUCAAGUCACUUAAAUCAUUCAAAGGAGGAUACCACCCCAUCAUACCACAUCAUAAUCAUCUCAAUAACAUGUUGGCACACAAGGUAAAUCAUUAUAACUCAUAGCUAAUCAAGCAUGGCACAAGCAACUAUGAUCUCUAAUUAUCAUUGCAAACAUGUUUAUUCAUAAUAAGCUGAAUCAAGAACGAGGGGCUCAUCAUAUUUACAAAAACAAAAGAGGUCGAGUUCAUACCAGCUUUUCUCAUCUCAGUCAGUCCAUCAUAUAUCAUCAUAAUUGCCUUUCACUUGCACGACCGAACGAUGUGAAUAAUAAUAAGGGUGCACGUGCAUUGGACUAAGCUGGAAUCUGCGAACAUUCAAUAAACAGGAGAAGACAAGGCAACAUGGGCUCUUGGUUAAAUCAACAAUAAUGCAUAUAAGAGCCACUUCAACAAUUUAAUUAUGGUCUUCUCCUACUGACCCCCAAAGAAAAGAAAAGAAAUAAAACUAUUUACAUGGGAAAGCUCCAAACAAGCAAAAGAAGAACGGGAAAUAUUUUUGGGUUUUAUUUUUAAUUAUUACUACUACAGCAGAAAAAUAAACUACUACUAAUUUUUUGGUUUUUCUUAAGGUUUAACAAAUACACAAGAAGAAAGUAGGAAAAAGAAAAUAAACUAGCAUGGAUAUUACAGUGAAAAAGUAUGAGCACCGACAUCUAGCAAUGAGUGUGUGUGAACAUAAAUGUAAUGUCGGUGAGAAAUACGUACUCCCCCAAGCUUAGGCUUUUGGCCUAAGUUGGUCUAUGGCCACGGCUGGCCUGGCGGAUAUCCAUAAUAGUUGUUGGGGUCGUAAUGUGAUGAGGAAUAGUUGGGAUCAUACUGAUGUGCAGCGGUUAUCGUCUGCUGAGCUGCAACGUGGAGUCGAGCUGCCUCCUCUCUCCUCUCGUACUCUUCUGCCUCCUCUCUGGUAAUAACAUAUCUUCUUUUUGUCUGUGAAUCAAAGAAGGCAGGAGCAGGGAGAGUAAUACGGAAAACACGUCAUUUAUCAAAAAUUAAACGAUAUAAGAGAGGUGAUUCAGGCCUCUCGACAAACUGGUGCGAAGCCAUAGAGUCAUAAUCUAAAUAUGCAGGAGGCAACUCCGUAUCACCCUCACGAAUGUCUAUCUCAAGAAAAUGAGCUAAGCGGGUUGCAUAAAUUCCUCCAAAAAAAUCUCCAUUAUGUCUAUUAUGAUGCAACCUACGAGCUACAAUGGCUCCCAUAUGAUAAGAUUGGUCUCCUAACACAGCACUCCUAAGAAUGCUAAGAUUAGGGACACACAUAUGACAUGCUUCAUCCUUAGCAAUUAUGCAUCUACCGAUGAAGAGAGCAAAAUAAUGUAUAGCAGGAAAGUGAAUGCUCCCUGUAGCCUGCGUUAUAUCUCUAGAUUCCCCCACAGUUAUACUAAAUUCAGAUUUAGGAGGAUCCCUAACACUACCCCAUGAUGGAAGUUUGCAAGCAGAAGUGAAAUCCUCUAAGUUCAUGGUAUAAGAUCUGUCAUAGAGAUCAAACAUGACUGAAGGAGAAUUACGCGAAGAUGAAUACUCAAACCUCCUCACAAAGGAACUUGUGAGAUCAUGAUACUGGGGGCAUUUGUUAGCCUCAAAAUCCUCAAGACCGGCAUUGUGCAAAUAUAUUUUGAAUUCUUCUUUAAUUCCCGCACGGUCCAUAAAAUUUCCUGAUGGCCAUUCGCAAGGCCGUACUGGAGCGUCUCUUGAUGGAUCCUCGUCAGCAUCGCGCAUAGCAAUCCUGGGUCCUUGCUUCUUAGAGGAACCACAUUGGAACAUCUUCCUAAGCAUAUUGUUUUUCUUUGAAAGAUUCUGAAAUUUUUAGUAACUUCAAACAAAAGUUAACCAACUUCAAUAAUAUUGAUAGCAACUACUCCUACAAGUGCCUAGAGCCUAUAUCAAGCAUUAGAACUACUUGAAACCAUAUAAAUUUGACAUGCAAGCUCAAGAACAUGGUCACCUAUGCAACGCAAAUUUGCAAAGAAUAAAGCACUAGAACAAAAACUAAUUGGACCAAUGGAGGAGUCACAUACCAAGGAACAAUCUCCCCAAGCAGUUUUGCGAGAGGUGCUUUGAGCAAGGAGAUCGAAAAUCACAGCAAAAGUGGCUGGAACUCGUGCUUGAGUUGGUUUUUCGGGUUUGUGUGAGACAGAGGAAGAAGAUGGGUGCUGGGAUAAGUGGAGGAGGGCCAUCAUGGGCCCACGAGGCAGGGGGGCGCGCCCUAGAGGGGGGGGGGGGGGCGCCCACCACCCUCGUGGCCAGGUGGCAGCUCCUCCCGCGGUAAUUUUUGCACAGUAAAUCCUCGAAUAUUCCCGAAAAAAUCAUAUUAAAUUGGCAUGUCAUUCCGAGGACUUUUAUUUUCGGGAUAUUUUUAUAUUGCACGGAUAAGUCAGGAAACAAACAAAAAAAAUACUAUUUUUACUUUAUUUAAUAUAAAUAACAGGAAGUAUAGAGAGGGUACAGAAGGUGGUGCUUCUAGUUUCAUCCAUCUCAUGCUCAUAAAAAAGAAUCCACUAACAAGGUUGAUCAAGUCUUGUUAACAAACUCAUUUCGAUAAUCAUGAAACCGGAGAAAUUUCGAAUAACACCAAGUUACCUCAACGGGAAUAUGCACAUCCCCAAUAAUAAGAAUAUCAUAUUUCUUCUUGACGGUAGGAAGAGGAAAUUCAAAACCUCCAAAUAUAAUCGAUGGAAUUUUUCCAAUGGAGUUGAUACUAUGAACUUGAGGUUGUUUCCUCGGAAAGUGUACCGUAUGCUCAUUACUAUUAACAUGAAAAGUGGCAUUGCCUUUGUUGCAAUUAAUAACAGCCCCUGCAGUAUUAAGAAAAGGUCUUCCAAGAAUAAUAGACAUACUAUCAUCCUCGGGAAUAUCAAAUAUAACAAAGUCCGUUAAAAUAGUAACGUUUGCAACCACAAUAGGCACAUCCUCACAAAUACCGACAUGUAUAGCAGUUGAUUUAUCAGCCAUUUGCAAAGAUAUUUCAGUAGGUGUCAACUUAUUCAAGUCAAGUCUACGAUAUAAAGAGAGAGGCAUAACACUAACACCGGCUCCAAGAUCACAUAACGCAGUUUUAAUAUAAUUUCUUUUAAUGGAGCAAGGUAUAGUAGGUACUCCGGGGUCUCUAAGUUUCUUUGGUAUUCCACCCUUAAAAGUAUAAUUAGCAAGCAUGGUGGAAAUUUCAGCUUCCAGUAUCUUUCUUUUAUUAGUAAUGAUAUCCUUCAUAUAUUUAGCAUAAGGAUUUGUUUUGAGCACAUCAGUUAAUCGCAUACGCAAAAAGAUAGGCCUAAUCAUUUCAGCAAAGCGCUCAAAAUCCUCAUCAUCCUUUUUCUUGGAUGGUUUUGGAGGAAAAGGCAUGGGUUUCUGAACCCAAGGUUCCCUUUCUUUACCAUGUUUCCUAGCAACAAAGUUUUCUUUAUCAUAACGUUGAUUCUUUGAUUGUGGGUUAUCAAGAUCAACAGCAGGUUCAAUUUCUACGUCAUUGUCAUUACUAGGUUGAGCAUCAUUAUGAACAUCAUCAUUAAUAUUUUCAUUAGGUUCAUGUUCAUUACCAGAUUGUGUUUCAGCAUCAGACAUAGAUAUAUCAUUUGGAUUAUCAGGUGGUUCAGCAAUAGGUUCACAAGAAGUUUGCACAGUUCUAUCAUUUUUCUUCUUCUUCUUUUUAGAAGAACUAGGAACAUCAAUAUUAUUUAUUUGAGAAUCUUGCUCGAUUCUCUUAGGGUGACCUUCAGGAUACAAAGGUUCCUGAGUCAUUCUAUCAGUUCUAGUAGCCACUCUAAUAGCACAAUCAUUUUUCUUACUAUUCAUUUCAUCAAGCACUUCUUUUUGAGCCUUAAGUACUUGUUCUACUUGAGUGGUAACCAUAGAAGCAUGUUUGCUAAAAAGUUUAAGUUCAUCUUUAAUAUUAGCCAUAUAAUCACCCAAGCGUCUAAUCAUAUAAGCAUUUUCUUUUAAUUGUCUACCAAAAUAAGCAUUGAAGUCGUCUUGCUUAAACAUAAAGUUAUCAAACUCAUCCAAGCACUGACUAGCAAUUUUAGUAGGAGGGACUUCAGCUUUAUCAUAUCUAUAGAGAGAAUUUACCUUUACUACCUGUGUCAGGAUAUCGGGAUCAGGAGGUUCUUCAAUAAAUAAAGAAUUAAGAUCAUAUGUUUCUUCAACAGGCGGUGAAUUAAGACCAUGUAUUUCUUCAAUAGGAGGUAAAUUCUUAACUUCUUCAGCUUUAAUACCUUUUUCUUUCAUAGAUUUCUUUGCCUAUUGCAUAUCUUCGGGACUGAGGAAUAGAACACCUCUCUUCUUCGGAGUUGGUUUAGGAAUAGGCUCAGUAAUUGGAGCAGGAGUUGGCUCAGGAGGUGCCUAAUUAUUUUCAUUUGUCAACAUAUUAUUCAAUAGAAUUUCAGCUUCAUCUGGUGUUCUUUCCCUGAAAAGAGAACCAGCACAACUAUCCAGGUAAUCUCUGGAAGCAUCGGUUAGCCCAUUAUAAAAGAUAUCAAGUAUUUUAGGUUUCUUAAGAGGAUGAUCAGGCAAAGCAUUAAGUAACUUGAGAAGCCUCCCCCAAGCUUGUGGGAGACUCUCUUCUUUAAUUUGCACGAAGUUGUAUAUUUCCCUCAAAGUAGCUUGUUUCUUAUAAGCAGGGAAAUAUUUAGUAGAGAAGUAAUAAAUCAUAUCCUGGGGACUACGCACACAACCAGGAUCAAGAAAAUUAAACCAUAUCUUAGCAUCACCCUUUAAUGAGAACGGAAAUAUUUUCAGUAUAUAAAAGUAACGCGAUCUCUCAUCAUUAGUGAAUAGGGCAGCUAUAUCAUUUAACUUAGUAAGAUGUGCCACAACAGUUUCAGAUUCAUAGCCAUAAAACAGAUCAGAUUCAACCAAAGUAAUUAUAUCAGGAUCAACAGAGAAUUCAUAAUCCUUAUCAGGAACACAAAUAGGUGAAGUAGCAAAAGCAGGGCCGGGUUUCAUUUUAUCUCUAAGUGAUUCUUUGUUCCAUUUAACUAAUAACUUCUUAAGCUCAUAUCUAUCUUUGCAAGCUAAAAUAGCGGCAGAAGAUUCCAUAUCAAAAAGAUAACCCUCAGGAAUAACAGGCAUAUUUUCAUCAUCACUAUCAUCAUUGUAUUCAGAUUCAAUAAUUUCUUUUUCUCUAGCCCUAGCAAUUUGUUCAUCAAGAAAUUCACCAAGGGGCACGGUAGUAUCAUGCAUAGAAGCAGUUUCAUCAUAAGUAUCAUGCAUAGCAGAAGUGACAUCAUCAAUAACAUGCGACAUAUCAGAACGAAUAGUAGAAGCAGGUGUAGGUGUCGCUAGCUUACUCAUAACAGAAGGUGAAUCAAGUGCAGAGCUAGAUGGCAGUUUCUUACCUCCCCUCGUAGCUGAGGGAUAGAUCUUGGUUUUUGGAUCUCUCAAGUUCUUCAUAGUGUCCAGCAGAUAUAAAUCCCAAGUGACUCAAAGAAUAGAGCUAUGCUCCCCGGCAACGGCGCCAUAAAUUUGUCUUGAUAACCCACAAGUAUAGGGGAUCGCAACAGCUUUCGAGGGUAGAAUAUUCAACCCAAAUUUAUUGAUUCGACACAAGGGGAGCCAAAGAAUAUUCUCAAGUGUUAGCAGUUGAGUUGUCAAUUUAUCCACACCUGGAAACUUAGUAUCUGCAGCAAAGUGUUUAGUAGCACAGUAAUAUAAUAGUGGUGGUAGCGGCAACAAAAGUAAAGACAGCAAAAGUAAUGUUUUUGGUAUUUUGUAGUGAUUGUAACAGUAGCAACGGGAAAGUAAAUAAGCGUAAACCAGUAUAUGGAAAACUCGUAGGCACAGGAUCAGUGAUGGAUAAUUAUGCCGGAUGCGGUUCAUCAUGUAACAGUCAUAACAUAGGAUGACACAGAACUAGCUCCAAUUCAUCAAUGUAAUGUAGGCAUGUAUUCCGUAUAUAGUCAUACGUGCUUAUGGAAAAGAACUUGCAUGACAUCUUUUGUCCUACCCUCCCGUGGCAGCGGGGUCCUAUUGGAAACUAAGGGAUAUUAAGGCCUCCUUUUAAUAGAGAACCGAAACAAAGCAUUAGCACAUAGUGAAUACAUGAACUCCUCAAACUAUGGUCAUCACCGGGAGUGGUCCCGAUUAUUGUCACUUCGGGGUUGCCGGAUCAUAACACAUAGUAGGUGACUAUAGACUUGCAAGAUAGGAUCAAGAACUCACAUAUAUUCAUGAAAACAUAAUAGGUUCAGAUCUGAAAUCAUGGCACUCGGGCCCUAGUGACAAGCAUUAAGCAUAGCAAAGUCAUAGCAACACCAAUCUCAGAACAUAAUGGAUACUAAGGAUCAAACCCUAACAAAACUAACUCGAUUACAUGAUAAAUCUCAUCCAACCCAUCACCGUCCAGCAAGCCUACGAUGGAAUUACUCACGCACGGCGGUGAGCAUCAUGAAAUUGGUGAUGGAGGACGGUUGAUGAUGACGAUGGCGAUGAAUCCCCCUCUCCGGAGCCCCAAACGGACUCCAGAUCAGCCCUCCCGAGAGGUUUUAGGGCUUGGCGGCGGCUCCGUAUCGUAAAAUGCGAUGAUUUUUUCUCUCGGAUUUUUUUUCUCUCCGAAAGCAAAUAUAUAGAGUUGGAGUUGGCGGCGUCGGAGGGCAUCCAGGGGGCCCACGAGGUAGGGGGGUGCGCCCUAGGGGGAGGGGGCGUCCCCCACCCUCGUGAGAAGGGUGUGGGCCCCCCGGUCUUCAUCUUUGGCAAGGAUUUUUUGUUAUUUUUUCUAAGAUGUUCCGUGAAGUUUCAGGUCAUUCCGAGAAUAUUUGUUUUCUGCACAUAAAACAACACCAUGGCAAUUCUGCUGAAAACAUCGUCACACCGGGUUAGUUCCAUUCAAAUCAUACAAGUUAGAGUCCAAAACAAGGGCAAAAGUGUUUGGAAAAAUAGAUAUGAUGGAGACGUAUCAGGGUGUCCGGAGCAAAGCUACUAUACAAGGUCUACUUUGCUACCAAGCCUGCUUUCCCGGAUGAUCCAUGGUUUUGCCGCCAUUUUCGCAUGCAGAAACCAUUGUUCUUGCACAUUGUGGAGGGAGUGGAGGCACACGACGACUACUUCAAGCUCACAAGGGAUUGCUGCGGACAACUCUCUUUCUCUCCCAAGCAGAAGUGCACGACUGCUCUGAGGAUGCUUGCACUUGGUACUGUUGCAGAUGCCGUUGGUGAGAUGGUCAGGAUGGAGGAGAACACGUGCUUGAAGACUACUGUCAAAUUUGCCUGCGCUGUGGUGGAGGUGUUUGGAUUCUAACACUAUCUAUGCUUCGUACCAACAUUUGCUAUUUACGUGCGACAUUGACUUGUAUGAUUGAUAUGCACGUAUUUGCAUGGAUUUUAGAAUCCGAAUUUAAGAUAUGUGAAUGCCUGGACGAAAAUAUGAGGGGUCGUCUGGAUGCGCUAGCGGGCGUGUCCGCGGACAUAUAAAGGGCCAGAUUUGCCAAAUCCGGCUGUUGAUGCUGUAAUGCCCAUAGUUUGUGCAGCUAAAACUUGUGUUCUGUCUUUUAGGGUAACCAGAGGUUCCGUCCAAAUCCCUGUCCUACGAAAAAGAAAAAUGAAUGCUUGGAACCGGUGCCCCCAUAUCAAGAGAAAUGGUGAUUAGUACAGCUACUAGAUCAUGUCCAUCGGCACCCAGCUAGGCCCUAGCCACUCACUCAUAUGUUGGCACCUGCAAAAGGGUCAGGAUUACACAUUACAGAUGCUGGAGAUAUCCAGACAGUAGACUAUUCCAAACCAGGUUAAUUAUUACUGUGGUCUCGCCCCUACAGGAUAUAGGUGGCUAAAAUGGACUAGCUACAGAUGCUCACUAGUGCUAUAGUUUUCUUCUUGUUGUUUUAAGAUCCAGGCUUCAUUGAUGUUAAGCAGAGUAGAGAGUAACAAGGUUGGGAUCAACGGUGUGAAUGUCAAUGUAACAUAAAUCAUAUGGAGGAGUUCUUCUCCCAAGUGCGUCGCUUAGGGGUUAUUUUUUCGAAACGAAGGCAAAGAUUGGCUCAUCUAUUAAAUAAGUAGAAGAGAAUUACCCAGUUAAUUACGGAAAACCGGACAAAAACCGGAACAACGAGGGUCAAGCCCACUCCCAUAGACUGAAACACACAGGGCAAAGCCCACCCUUAUCGACAACAUACCGACCUGCGGCCACACAACGCAACUCCGACUCUGACGGAGAACUCAGAAGAACGAAACCAGGCACGGUUGGCGCCACGGAAGAUCGCCGAAAGGGCCACCUGCAGCCAGUCAUCGUACACCACAGGGCCCCGCCGCCGCCGUUUCGACUCCACAGCAACAAACAAACCGAGGCAAUACCAUGGACACACCGGAGAAGAGCCGACUAUCGCAACCAUUGCUGCAUCGUCGACAUCGCUCCCACCAUCAUCGUUGCCACAGAAGUAUGGCCGCCAUAGUGAUUCUCUCGGGGCCGCCGCCCCGACAUCCACCGCUCCCUCGCGCCCAGCACAAUCAACCGGCACCACCUUCCGGGGCCGCCGCCCCGACAUACCACCACUCCCCUCGAGCAGCAACGCCACACAACCCAGCUGCCCGCAGCCCACGCUGCUCAGGGCAGCCGCUCGCAGACCACGAACGUCGCACCACAUCCGGGGCCGCCGCCCCGACGUAAAGUCAGACUGCCCCCUCUGGGGCGCAUAGACCAGGCCGACGACCUCGCUACCCACGCAGCACCAAGCCGCCACCAAAACAAUGCACAACCGCGACUCUGCCCCAUAGAACCACUAUUGCAUCGCUAUCCGAGGCCGCUGCCUCGACGUACAUCCACCGUCCAGAGCCACCGCCCCGGCCUCCAUCACCCCGACGACGACGCAACUCCGCACCACUGCCAUGAGACCACCACUCCACAAAGGUCAUUGCUUCCAAGGCGAUGCCUCCAAGAAGGUAACGACAUAAUUGCCGCCGCUGCCCGCUCCAAUGGAGCUUGGGUUUUCACCCAGAAACACCAGGCAGUUGCGGCAGUAGAUGGACGUAGCUCCGUGAUGUGCCUUCAGGAAGGAAUGCAAUGCUCAAGAACAUCGUCAACAUCGGCACCGACUGGAGAAGGUGCAAGACUUUCGCCUGGAGAAUCUACUCCACCGCUGAGCCUCACGAGGAAGCCAACGGCAUAGGAAUGCAACAAGUUGCGCAGAGUGCUUCGUUGCCUACCUCCAGCCCUCAACAUGCCGCAGCAAAACGCCUUGCCAGAUCUGUGCACCCCCGGCCACCUCCAGCCCAAACUGCUGCUCCAUUGCACACACGGCCAGAGCAGCAGAAGACCACACCACUCCGGUGGCCAGAGACCGAUCUCCACGACCACUGUCGCAGCGCCGCCGCCCAAAAACUGUGGCUCACUGCCACAGCCACAGCCCACCAUCAUAAGAAACCUCCACCGUCGUGAUGCCGCCGUGCCGCCAUCCAAAAGCUGCGGCUCGCCGCCAUCACCACAGCUCCCCCGACCGAGGGAGGGGACCCCAGGCACCCAGCACGCCAUACAGCCACAGCCCGCCGGAGCGUUGCCGUCGCAGCACGCUGGAGCGCCUCCACCGACAGAUAUGGGCGCUGGGCGCCAGAUCGACGACGACCGGCCUCAGCACCGCCCCGCACGCCAUCCGGCCGAGGAAGGCGGGAGCAGCGCUGCCACCAUGCCUGGGGCCGCCGCCCCGGCUUGCUCGCGCCGACGAGACGCGGCCGCCGCCAGAUGCGGGCCUCCGACUGGGGCCGAAGCCAUGCGGCGCGCGACGAGGGCCCCCCGCCGUCGCCGUCCUCCUAGCGGGUUUUGCCCGUCAGCAUCCUCCUUCGACGACGGGAGGAGCGGGGGAGGAGAGAGCUGCGGGGGUGGCGGCGGCUAGGUUACGCCCGAGCCGCCCUCCCGAGAGCGACGCGAGCUCACCCGCUUAGGGGUUAGGGCCACAAGUGGAUCGCCCAUUGCCAUACGGGUGUAGAUCAUGGCCGUGAGCAACACCAAUUUCGCUCCGCACGGUGAUCUACCAGGCUACCCACCACGACUAGCUGUGCAUGCAGAGGUAGCAUGGCUUACAUGCAUACCCACUUCGAUGCCUAAACUUAUGUGAUUCAUUUUGCAUCUAAAAAAUCAUGGAAUGUCAACAAAGGGAUCAUUUCCAUUGCUGUUCGCACACGAACACGUCACCGUGUACCCUCGACGCCGGGGUGAUGCAUCGUAGCUCAUGUUAAAGGAGACCCGGCCGGAAGUGCGGUACGCAAGUAAUCCGACGGGCGUUUUCGUAGACCCGAAACCCCACACGCCCGGGAGGGAACCUGUCAGGGCACGUGGCGGCUAUGGGCUGCCCUAGGUCAACCCGAUCGCCCCUAGGGCCUCGAGGUUUGCUGCCCUGCAACAAGAAGAACAGACGAAGAACGAGGAAGAAGAAGAACAAAGAGAAAGAUAAAAGUAAAGGUAAAAAUUGGUAGAUGAUUUUGUUGAUUGUUUGUUGUUCAAUCAGCCAUCAUCUCAUCUAUUUAUGAGGUGAUUGGACUUUCCGUACAAGAAAAGGACUCCAAACCCCGUCCGAAAUUAGCCGAACACGGAUUAGUUAUGUGUGAGACAGCAGUUCGGUUUUUGUGUUUCACAAGCCAAAUACGAGCUCGGAUGAAGAUGCGCCCAAAAGGAAAUUUAACAGUUUCAACAAGACAAACAACUUUGGUGUUGAAAGUUUUAUGAUUCGAGGCCGUCUUGAGGGCCUAAUAUAACGCCCUCGAUGCGGCUAUAUCUCCUACGUGUCGAAGCACGACUUAGAGGCAUAACCGCAUUGAAAGCAAUGUCGCAAGUAAGGUAAUCUUCACAACAACCCAUGUAAAUAUAUAACAAGGGUAAAUGUACAUAGUUGGCUUACACUCGCCACGUCACACAAAGUACAUAAAUAGCAUUACAAUCAUCCAAUACACUCAUGGUCCGACUACGGUACCAAAAUAUAAGAUCAACCCCAACAUGCGACACGGUCCCGAUCGCCCCAACUGGGCACCACUACUGAUCAUCAGGGAAAGACACAUAGUAACGGCGUGAGUCUUUUUUGAACUCCCACUUGAGCUCAAGCGCAUCAUCUGGAACGGAAUCAUCGGGCCCUGCAUCUGGUUUGGAAGUAAACUAUGAGCCACGGGGACUCAGCAAUCUCGCACCCCCGCGAUCAAGACUAUUUAAGCUUAUAGGUAAGGCAAGGUAAUAUGUGGAGUUGCAGCAAGCGACUAGCAUAUAUGGUGGCUAACCUGUUCGCAAAAGAGAGCGAGAAGAGGAGGCAAAGCACGAACGAAGAACUAGAGAACAACCUACAACAAACAUUACUCCAACACCGUGUUCACUUCCCGGACUCCGUCAAGAAGAGACCGUCACGGUUACACACGCGGUUGAUUCAUUUUAAUUAAGUUAAAGUUUAAGUUAUCUACAACCGGACAUUAACAAAUUCCCAUCUGCCCAUAACCGCGGGCACGUCUUUCGAAAGUUCAAAUCCCUGCAGGGGAGUCCCAACUUAGCCCAUCACAAGCUCUCACGGUCAACGAAGGAUAAACCUUCUUCCGAGACAUUCCGAUCAGACUCGGUAUCCCGGUUCUACAAGACAACGUCGACAAAGAUAAAACAAGUCCAGCAACACCGCUCGAAUGUGCCGACAAAUCCCGAUAGGAGCUGCACAUAUCUCGUUCUCAGGGCACACUCAGAUGAGCUCUCCAUACAACUAAAACUAAACCUCGAGUUUCCCCGAGGGGGCGCUGCACAAGACUCUAGUUUGGACCAACACUCAGAGGAGCACUGGCCCAGGGGGGUUUAAAUAAAGAUGACCCUCGGGCUCUGGAAACCCAAAGAAAAAGAGGCUAGGUGGCAAAUGUUAAAACCAAGGUUGGGCAUUGGUGGAGGAGUUUUACUCAAGGCGAACUGUCAAGGGGUUCCCAUUAUCACCCAACCGCGUAAGGAAAGCAAAAAUCCGGGAACAUAACAUCGAUAUGACAGAAACUAGGGCGGCAAGAGUGGAACAAAACACUAGGGAAAAGGCCAAGCCUUCCACCCUUUACCAAGUAUAUAGAUGCAUUAAGAUAACAAGAUAAUAUAGUGAUAUCCCAACAAAAUAAACAAUGUUCCAACAAGGAAUGAUCUCCAAUCUUCAGCUGCAACUAGCAACGCUAUAAGAGGGGCUGAGCAAAGCGGUAACAUAGCCAAUCAACGGUUUACUAGGACAUGGUGGGUUAGAGGUUUGACAUGGCAAUUUGGGAGGCAUGAUAAGCAAGUGGUAGGCAUCAUAGUAUAGGCAUAGCAAAAGAGCGAGCAUCUAGCAAGCAGAGAUAGAAGUGAUUUUAAGGGUAUGAUCAUCUUGCCUGCAAAGUUGUCAGAGUUGACUGGAUCCUCGAAAGCAAACUCAACGGGCUCCUCAUUAGCGAACUCGUCUCCCGAAUCUACCCAAACAAGAUAAACAAGCAAAAGGAACACAAUCAACCACGUGCAAAGCUCAAACAACAUGAUGCAAACAUGGUAUGCUAUGCGGGAUGCGAUAUGUGAUGCAUAUGCAAGAUUUGAUAAGGAAUGAUUGAACCUGGACUCAACUUGGAAAUCCAAGAGUGCCACUGAAAAGGUGAGGUGAUUUCGGUUGAAAUCGAUAUAAAGAACACCGGAAUCGGAUGCACGGUUUGGAAAUGGCAAGCAAAACAAAUAUGGCAACGGUCUGCGAUAAACAUCAAGUAGCCAUCUAAGUGCAUCAGGAUAAUUAUGCUACAGCACUCAAACAUGGCAACAAAAUACAUGGCAGGGAUGCACUCAUGAUGCUUGACAAAAGAUGAACACUGAGGUACGGCCAAUUCAUCCAUUAACAGGUUCAAACAAGCAUGGCAAAAGUGCAAUUGAUAAACAUGUUUCAGACUUAGUGAAAUUAACACUAGUCUGGAAUUUCAGAUCAGGUAGCACACUUUGGAGCAUGAAAACUAUAUGUUACAGGAACUUAACAUGGCAAAUCAAGGCAUGACAUGAAGCUACUCCAAGCACUUAACAAAAGUCCCUUAGUGACCUUGAGCCAAAAGGGAUCAGAAAAUACAAUUGCAAGCAUGUGAACGUGGCAAAAACAUAAUCAGAUCUCAGACUUAGUGAAAAACUGGAGCAUGCAAAUAUGCUAACGAGUAGGCAUGUUUACGAGCUCGAUGCACUCACUACAGAGCAUGACAUGACAAUCUAAGCAUACACCUAUCAAGAAUACAUAUUAUAUAAGCUAGACAUGGCAAGAACAACAACAUAGCAUGCACGGAUCAACAACAACAUCCUCGGCAAAAUCGCUAACAAGUAGACAAUCUGCCAGAAAUUAUGAAAUAGAAAAAGUAGAGCUCGAUUGACUCAAGCUAGGGUGCUCCAUAAAUGCAAACAAAGGCAUAGAUGGAUAGGGCACCACAAUAUUAACAAAUCAUCCUUACUGAUCAUCCUCAAAAGAGGCACGGAUCACUAGCAAACAACAUGAACAUAUGACAUAUUGAUAAAAACAUAUCAAGGACUUGAGAGAAAUUCUAAGUCCCUGAAAUCAGCAUUAACGAAUGCACUACUUUGCAAGCUUGUGCUAGUCACCACACAUGUCACAAAAAUACAUGGUAAGCACUUCUGUAAAUAUGGCAAAGCAUAUAACAAAACUCAUGUAGAGCUCAAGAGCAUAUCAUGCACACAUUAAUCAUGGCAAAAAUGACAAAUAGCUAUUUGGUGCAGCAGAUCUGACAAUUAACUUAAAUAGCUCUCUUCCAACAGCAUUUCAGGCAUUAAGAUGAGCUCAAAUGAAAAUGAUACAAUGAGAUGAAAUGAUGUACUCUCAGAGACGAACAUUUUGAUAUGCUACACGCCCAAAACAGAGCUACGGUUGCGGAGUUACGGCAUGAUGAAAAACGCAAAAUAUCUAGGGUUCGGGGAUAAAAAGUCAACCCUCUGAAUCUAGAUCUGAUAUCACUAUAGCAGUGCGCGGACGUCGAGGAUCGCCGGAGUUCGUCGAGGUGGUCGCCGGACUUGGCGUGGAGAGGAGCUUGCCGGCCGGAUCUUGCCGGAUCCGGUGAGGGCGGCGGAGGAGGAGAGGACGGGCGGAGAGGUGCGGCCGGCGCGGGACGAAGCGGGGCUCCGGCAGGCNNNNNNNNNNNNNNNNNNNNNNNNNNNNNNNNNNNNNNNNNNNNNNNNNNNNNNNNNNNNNNNNNNNNNNNNNNNNNNNNNNNNNNNNNNNNNNNNNNNNNNNNNNNNNNNNNNNNNNNNNNNNNNNNNNNNNNNNNNNNNNNNNNNNNNNNNNNNNNNNNNNNNNNNNNNNNNNNNNNNNNNNNNNNNNNNNNNNNNNNNNNNNNNNNNNNNNNNNNNNNNNNNNNNNNNNNNNNNNNNNNNNNNNNNNNNNNNNNNNNNNNNNNNNNNNNNNNNNNNNNNNNNNNNNNNNNNNNNNNNNNNNNNNNNNNNNNNNNNNNNNNNNNNNNNNNNNNNNNNNNNNNNNNNNNNNNNNNNNNNNNNNNNNNAGCAGACCGGGCCGCAGGGGCUCCCCGCGGGCCUGGCGGGCCUCGGGCGGCGGCGGCGAUGUGGGCGCCCGCCCGGGACGCGUGGCAGGAGCUGAUUUGUCCGGCGGAGCGAGCGGACGUGUCCGGCACGUCCAGACGUUGUCCGGCGCGCGGAGAGGAAGGGGAGCUAGGGUUUUGGGGAAGAAGGUCCAAAAAUUUCGGGAGAGGGUCUAUAUAUAGGCAUAGAGGGAGCUAGGAGAGUCCAAAUAAGGUGCGGUUUUUGGCGACGCGAUCGUGAUCGAACUCUCUAGAUGAUUGAGAGGGUUUUGGUGGGUUUUGGGCCAAAAUGGAAGGGUGUUGGGCUGCAACACACACGAGGCCUUUUCAGUCCCUCGGUUAACCGUUGGAGUAUCAAACGAAGUCCAAAUGGUAAAAAACUUGACAGGCGGUCUACCGGUAGUAAACCAAGGCCGCUUGGCAAGUCUCGGUCCAAUCCGGAAAUGUUUAACCCCUACACACGAAAAGAAGGUAGAAAAGACCACCGGAGGAGAUAGGAGCGCCGGAAUGCGAAAUGGACAACGGGGAAAAUGCUCGGAUGCAUGAGACGAACAUGUAUGCAAAUGCAAUGCACAUGAUGACAUGAUGUGAGAUGCAAGACAACGACAACAACACACGGAGACAAAAACCCGAACCCGAGGAAAUAAAAUAACUUAGCGCCGGAAACGGCAAGAGUUGGAGUACAUAUUAGGUAAAUUACAUCCGGGGUGUUACAACACUCCACCACUACAAAAGGAUCUCGUUCCGAGAUCUAGGACUGGAAGAACGCCGGGUACUCAGAACGGAGGUGAUCCUCGCGUUCCCAGGUGGCUUCACGGUCGGAAUGGUGUGACCACUUGACUUUGAGGAAUAUGAUUGACUUAUUGCGAGUCUUGCGUUCAGUCUCUUCAAAAAUAGCAACGGGGUGCUCACGAUAAGAAAGAUCUUCUUGGAGAUCAAUGUCUUCGAAGUUGACGGUGCGGUCAGGAGUCUUGAAGCACUUGCGGAGCUGAGAGACAUUGAACACGUCGUGCACAUUUGCAAAAUUUGAAGGAAGCUCGAGUUGAUAGGCGAGAUCGCCUCUCUUGCUGACGAUUUUGAAAGGACCCACGUAUCUAGGGGCAAGCUUCCCUUUGAUACCGAAGCGACGAGUACCUUUCAUUGGAGAGACGCGGAGGUAAACAUGAUCUCCGAUCUCGAAAGCCAAAUCACGGUGCUUACUAUCAUAGUAGCUCUUCUGGCGCGAUUGCGCUGCUUUGAGGUUGUCACGAAUGACCUUGCACAUUUCCUCUGCCUUUGUGAUCAAGUCAUUUCCCAGAAGUUGACGUUCACCGGUUUCCGACCAGUUAAGAAGAGUACGACACUUCCUGCCAUACAGAAUUUCGAAUGGGGCCUUGCCCGAACUUGCUUAAAAACUGUUGUUGUAGGAGAAUUCGGCAUAUGGAAGACAAUCUUCCCACUUUAUACCGAAAGAGACAACGCAAGCCCUAAGCAUAUCUUCGAGAAUCUGAUUGACACACUCGACUUGGCCGCUAGUUUGAGGAUGAAAAGUUGUGCUGAAACGGAUGUUGGUGCCCAUGGCCUUCUGAAAAGAAUCCCAAAACUUGGAGGUAAAGAUGCUGCCACGGUCUGAAGAGAUCAACUAUGGAAUGCCGUGCAGAGAGACAAUCCGAGAGGUAUACAGCUCCGCCAAUUGAGCUGUAGUGAUAGACUCUUUGAUAGGAAGAAAGUGAGCCACUUUAGUGAGUUUGUCGAUGACAACGAAUAUAGCAUCAUUGCCACACUUGGACUUUGGAAACCCAGUCACGAAGUCCAUCUCAAUGUGGUCAAACUUCCAUUCUGGAAUGGCAAGAGGUUGGAGGAGACCAGCUGGCCUUUGGUGUUCUGCCUUCACUCUUCUGCAGACAUCACAUUCAUUCAUGAACUGAGCAAUCUCGCGCUUCAUUCGAGUCCACCAAUAAGCCUGCUUAAGGUCCUGAUACAUCUUCGUACUCCCAGGGUGGAUGGCGAGGAGUGAAUUGUGAGCCUCAUUCAUGAUAACUUUACGAAGGUCACCUUUGGGCACAACAAUACGAUCCUCGAAGAAGAGAGUAUCCUUGUCAUCAAGGCGAUAGCACUUGUACUUGGGUUGACUCUUGGCAAUCCCAAUCUUCACCUUCUUCACCAUAGCAUCAAGAAGUUGAGCCUCGCGAAUCUGAUCUUCCAAAGUAGGAGAGACUUGAAGGUUGGCGAGGAAACCUUGAGGAACAACUUGCAAAUUGAGUUUGCGCAAAGCUUCACAAAGCUUGGGUUGGUAAGGCUUGAGAAUCAGACUGUUGCAGUAAGCCUUCCUGCUCAAUGCGUCAGCAAUCACAUUGGCCUUGCCUGGAGUAUACUCGAUACUCGGAUUAUACUGUUGAAUCAUUUCGACCCAACGAGUCUGCCUGAGGUUGAGAUUAGGCUGAGUGAAGAUGUACUUGAGACUCUUGUGGUCAGUGAAAAUGUCCACUUUUCUUCCCAAUAAGAGAUGUCUCCAAGUCAAAAGAGCAUGCACAACUGCCGCCAACUCGAGGUCAUGAGUGGGGUAGUUCUUCUCGUUGGGCUUCAAUUGGCGAGAGGUAUAAGCCACAACUUUCUUCUCUUGCAUCAACAUUGCACCAAGACCUUGAAGAGAGGCAUCGUAGAAGACCUCAAACGGUUUGGAUUCAUCAGGAGGAGUCAAAACUGGAGUAGUGACCAAUUUCUCUUUCAAAGUGUUGAAAGCGAUAUCACAUUCCGGAGACCAAACGUACUUGACGGGCUUCUGGAGAAGAUUUGAAAGAGGCUUCGCGAUCUUUGAAAAGUUCUCAACGAACCUUCGACAGUAGCUUGCGAGACCGAGGAAGCUGCGGAGUUGCUUCACGUUCUGAGGUGGUUCCCAAUUCACAAUUGCAGACACCUUCUUAGGAUUCACCGCUAUGCCCUUGGCAGAGAUGAUAUGCCCAAGAUAGAGAACCUCAUCGAGCCAAAACUUGCACUUUGAGAACUUGGCGUAGAACUGAUGUUCCCUGAGCUUAUCGAGCACCAAACGCAAAUGCUUGGCAUGAUCUUCCUUGUUCUUCGAAAAGGCCAGAAUGUCAUCGAGGUAGACCAAGACAAAGUCAUUUGUGUAGGCGUUGAAGAUGAAGUUCAUCAUGCGAGAGAAAGUCGGAGGAGCGUUGAUGAGGCCAAAAGACAUGACAGUGUAUUCAUAUGAACCAUAGCUUAUUCUGAAAGCCGUCUUGGGAAUAUCUUGAUCACGGAUUCGAAUCUGGUGAUAACCCAUACGGAGAUCAAGCUUGGAGAAUACUUGGGCACCUUUGAGUUGUUCGAAUAGCUCAUUGAUGUUGGGAAAUGGGUACUUGUUCUUGAUAGUCUUCUUGUUCAAUGGACGGUAGUCAACACAAAGUCGGUCCGUUCCAUCCUUCUUCACAAAAAGAACUCCACAACCCCACGGAGAAGAACUAGGUCGGAUGAGACCCAUUCGCUCUUGAAUAUCGAGUUGCUUCUGUUGGGGAACGUAGCAGAAUUUUAUAAUUUUCUACGAAUCACCAAGAUCAAUCUAUGGAGUCAUCUAGCAACGAGAGAGAGGAGUGCAUCUACAUACCCUUGUAGAUCGCGAGCGGAAGCAUUCAAGAGAACGGGGUUGAUGGAGUCGUACUCGUCGUGAUCCAAAUCACCAAUGACCGAGCGCCGAACGGAUGGCACCUCCGUGUUCAACACACGUAUGGUUGGGGAAGAUGUCUCCUCCUUCUUGAUCCAGCAAGGGGGAAGGAGAGGUUGAUGGAGAUCCAGCAGCACGACGGCGUGGUGAAAGCAGCGGGGAUCUCGGCAGGGCUUCGCCAAGCUCAGCGAGAGGGAGAGGUGUUACGAGGGGAGAGGGAGGCGCCAGGGGCUAGGGUGCGGCUCCCAUGCGCCUCCCCACUAUAUAUAGGGGUGGAGGGGGCUGGUUUCUUGCCCUCCAAGUCCAUUGGGGCGUUGGCAAAGGUGGGGGAAAGAAAUCCCAUCAUUUCCCUUCCCCACCGAUUGUUAUCCCCCCUUUUUAGGGAUCUUGAUCUUAUCCCUUCGGGAUAUGAUCUUAUUCCUUCUAAGGGGGGAUCUUGGUGCGCCUUGACCAGGGGUGUGGGUCCUUGCCCCCACUACCCACGUUCAUGUGGGUCCCCCCAUGCAGGUGGGCCCCACUCCGGAACCUUCUAGAACCUUCCCGGUACAAUACCAAAAAAUCCCGAACAUUUUCCGGUGGCCAAAAUAGGACUUCCCAUAUAUAAAUCUUUACCUCCGGACCAUUCUGGAACUCCUCGUGACGUCCGGGAUCUCAUCCGGGACUCCGAACAACUUCCGGGUUACCGCAUACUAAUAUCUCUACAACCCUAGCAUCACCGAAUCUUAAGUGUGUGGACCCUACGGGUUCGGGAGACAUGCAGACAUGACCGAGACAACUCUCCGGCCAAUAACCAACAGCGGGAUCUGGAUACCCAUGUUGGCUCCCACAUGUUCCACGAUGAUCUCACUGGAUGAACCACGAUGUCGAGGAUUCAAUCAAUCCCGUAUUCAAUUCCCUUUGUCCAGCGGUAUUGCACUUGCCCGAGAUUCGAUCGUCGGUAUCCGAUACCUUGUUCAAUCUCGUUACCGGCAAGUCUCUUUACUCGUUCCGUAGCACAUCAUCCCGUGAUCAACUCCUUGGUCACAUUGUGCACAUUAUGAUGAUGUCCUACCGAGUGGGCCCAGAGAUACCUCUCCGUUACACGGAGUGACAAAUCCCAGUCUCGAUUCGUGCCAACCCAACAGACACUUUCGAAGAUACCUGUAGUGAACCUUUAUAGCCACCCAGUUACGUUGUGACGUUUGGCACACCCAAAGCACUCCUACGGUAUCCGGGAGUUGCACAAUCUCAUGGUCUAAGGAAAUGAGACUUGACAUUAGAAAAGCUUUAGCAUACGAACUACACGAUCUUUGUGCUAGGCUUAGGAUUGGGUCUUGUCCAUCACAUCAAUGAUGUGAUCCCGUUAUCAAUGACAUCCAAUGUCCAUGGUCAGGAAACCGUAACCAUCUAUUGAUCAACGAGCUAGUCAACUAGAGGCUUACUAGGGACAAGGUUUUGUCUAUGUAUCCACACAUGUAUCUGAGUUUCCUAUCAAUACAAUUCUAGCAUGGAUAAUAAAUGAUUAUCAUGAACAAGGAAAUAUAAUAAUAACCAAUUUAUUAUUGCCUCUAGGGCAUAUUUCCAACAGUCUCCCACUUGCACUAGAGUCAAUAAUCUAGUUCACAUCGCCAUGUGAUUAACACUCACAGGUCACAUCGCCAUGUGACCAACAUCCAAAGAGUUUACUAGAGUCACUAAUCUAGUUCACAUCACUAUGUGAUUAAUACUCAAUGAGUUCUAGGUUUGAUCAUGUUAUGCUUGUGAGAGAGGUUGUAGUCAACGGGUCUUGCCAUAUUCAGAUCCCUAUGUAUUUCGCAAAACUUUAUAUCGUAGAUGCUGCUACCACGUUCCACUUGGAGCUAUUCCAAAUUAUUGCUCCAUUAUACGUAUCCGGUAUCUCUACUCAGAGCUAUCCGGAUAGGUGUUAAGCUUGCAUCGACGUAACUCUUUAUGUCGAACUCUUUAUCACCUCCAUAACCGAGAAACAUUUCCUUAUUCCUCUAAGGAUAAUUUUGACCGCUAUCUGGUGAUCCAUUCCUAGAUCACCUUUGUACCCUCUUGCCAGACAUGUGGCAAGGCACACAUUAGGUGCGGUACUUCAGCAUGGCAUACCAUAUAGAGCAUAUGACAAGAGCAUAGGGGACGACCUUCGUCCUUCCUCUUUCUUCUGCCGUGGUCAAGCUUUGAGUCUUACUCAACUUCACACCUUACAACUCAGGUAAGAACCCCUUCUUUGACUGAUCUAUUUUGAACUCCUUCAAAAACAUGUCGAGGUGUGCGUUCUUUGAAAGUAUCAUCAGGCGUUUUGAUCUAUCUCUAUAGAUCUUGAUGCCCAAUAUGUAAGCAGCUUUAUCCAGGUCUUCCUUUGAAAAACACUCUUCAAAUAACCGUUUAUGCUUUCCAGAAAUUCUACAUCAUUUCGAAUCAACAAUAUGUCAUCCACAUAUACUUAUCAGAAAUGUUGUAGUGCUCCCACUCACUUUCUUGUAAAUACAAGUUUCUAGCAAACAUUGUAUAAAACCUAAAAGCUUUGAUCACUCCAUCAAAACAUAUAUUCCGAUUCCGAGAUGCUUGCUCUAGUCCAUAGAAGGAUUGCUGGAGCCAGCAUAACUUUUAGCAUUCUUAGGAUCGACAAAACCUUUUAUUGUAUCACAUACAACUUUUCUUACGAAAACUUGGUAAGAAAACUUGUUUUGACAUCCAUCUGUAAGAUUUCAUAAUCGAAAAAUACAGCUAGUGCUAACAUGAUUCUGACGGACUUAAGCAUCGCUACGGGUGAGAAAUUCUCAUCGUAGUCAACUCCUUGAACUUGUGAAAAGACUCUUUCCCACAAGUCGAUCUUCAUAGACGGUAACAUUACCGCCCACGUCCGUCUUCUUCUUAAAGAUCCAUUUAUCUCAAUGGCUUGCCGAUCAUCGGGCAAGUCCACCAAAGUCCAUACUUUGUUCUGAUAUAUGGAUCCUAUCUCUGAUUUCAUGGCUUCUAACCGUUUGUCGGAAUACGAGCCCACCAACGCUUCUCCAUAGCUCGUAGGUUCAUUGUUGUCUAACAACAUGAUAUCUAAGACAGGAUUACCGUACCACUUAGGAGUAGUACGUAUCCUUGUCGACCUACGAGGUUCGAUAGCAACUUGAUCCGAAGCUUCAUGAUCACUAUCAUUAACUUCCUAUUCAACAGACGUAGGCGCCACAGAAAACAUCUUCUGUGUUGCAUCACUCUCUGGUGGAAGUAAAGGUUCGACAACCUCAUCAAGUUCUAUCUUCCUCCCACUCAAUUCUUUCGAGAUAAACUCCUUCUCGAGAAAGGACCCGUUCUUAGCGACAAACAAUUUUCCCUCGGAUCUGAGAUAGAAGGUAUACCCUACUGUCACCUUUGGGUAUCCUAUGAAGAUGUGUUUGUCCGCUUUGGGUUCGAGCUUAUCCGGCUGAAGCCUUAAGCAUCGCAGCCCCAAACAUUAAGAAACGAGAACUUUGGUUUCUUGCCAAACCAAUGUUCAUAUGACGUCGUCUCAACGGACUUAGAUGGUGUCCUAUCUAAAGUGAAUGCAGCUGUCUCUAACGCAUAACCUCAAAAUGAAAACGGUAGAUUGAUAAGAGACAUCAUAGAUCGCACCAUAUCUCAUAGUGUUCGAUUACGAUGUACGGACACACCAUUACCUUGUGGUGUUCCAGGUGGCUUCAACUGUGAAACAAUUCCACAAUGUCUUAAGUGAUUGCCAAACUCAUAACUCAGAAAAUCCCCUUUUGAUCAGAUCGUAGGAACAUGAUCUUAUUGUUAUGAUGAUUCUUAACUUCACUCUGAAAUCGCUUGAACUUUUCAAACGUUUCGGAUUUGUGCUUCAUUAAGUAGAUAUACCUAUAUCUACCCAAAUCAUCAGUGAAGAUGAGAAAAUAGCGAUAUCCACCGCAUGCUUCAAUUCUCAUUGGAUCACACGCAUCAGCAUGCAUGAUUUCCAACAAGUCACUUGCCCGUUUCAUUGUACCUGAAAACGGGGUCUUAGUCAUCCUGCCCAUGAGGCAUGGCUCGCAUGUGUCAAGUGAUUCAAAAUCAAGUGACUCCAAACAUCCAUCGACAUGGAGUUUCUUCAUGCAUCUUACGCCAAUAUGACCUAAGCGGCAGUGCCACGAGAAAGUGGUACUAUCAUUAUUAACUCUACAUCUUUUGGCGUGAACACGUGUAUUACCACGACCGAGAUUCAAUGAACCAUUCACAUAGGGUGCAUGACCAUAAAAGGUAUCAUUCAUGUAAACAGAAUAACCAUUAUUCUCUAAUUUAAAUGAAUAACAGUAUUGCAAUGAACAUGGUCUAAUCAUAUUCAUGCUCAAGUUGACACCUGAUGACAUUUAUCUAGGUUCAAUACUAAUCCCGAAGGCAGAUGGAGCGUGCGAUGGUGAUCUCAUCAACUUUGGAAACACUUCCAACACACAUCGUCACCUCGCCCUUAGCCAGUCUCCGUUUAGUCCGUAGCUUUUGCUUCAAGUCACCAAUAAUAGUAACUGAACCGGUAUCCAAUACCCAGGCGCUACCAGGAGUACUAGUGAGGUACACAUUAAUAACACGUAUAUACUUUGUUGAAGUUGCCAGCCUUCUUAUCUACCAUGCAUUUGGGGUAAUUCCGCUACCAGUGACCGUUCCCCUUACAAUAGAAGCACUUAGUCUCGGGUUUGGGUUCAACCUUGGGUUCCUUCACUGGAGCGGCAACUGGUUUGCCAUCCAUGAAGUUUCCCUUCUAGCCCUUGCCCUUCUUGAAACCAGUGGUCUUGUUAAACCAUCAACACUUGAUGCUCCUUCUUGAUUUCUACCUUUUGCGGUCUUAAGCACCGCGAACAGCUCCGGGAUCAACUCCAUACCUUGCAUGUCAUAGUUUAUCACGAAGAUCUAGUAGCUUAGUGAUAGUGGCUAGAGAACUCUAUCAAUCACUAUCUUAUCUGGAAGUUUAACUCCCACUUGAUUUAAGUGAUUGUAGCACCCAGACAUUCUGAGCGCAUGCUCACUAGCUGAGCUAUUCUCCUCCAUCUUGUUGGCAAAAGAACUUGUCAGAGGUCUCACACCUGUCAACACGGGCAUGAGCCUGAAAUCCCAAUUUCAGCUCUUGGAACAUCUCAUAUGUUCUAUGGCGUUCAAAACGUCAUUGGAAUCCCGAUUCUAAGCCGUAAAGUAUGGUGCACUAAACUAUCAAGUAGUCAUCAGGAUGUGUCUGUCAGGUGUUCACAACAUCCACAGACGACGUUGUAGGGGUUUGCACAUCGACCGGUGCAUCAAAGACGUAAGCCUUCUGUGUAGAAGUGAGGACACUCCUCGGACUUCGGACCCAGUCCGCAUCAUUGCUUACAAUAUCUUUCAACUUAAUCUUUCUCUAGGAACGUAUUGAAACAGGGAGCUACAACUUGAGCUAUUUAUCUACAACAUAUUUGCAAAGACAAUUUAGACUAUGUUCAUGAUAAUUGAGUUCAUCUAAUCAAAUUAUUUAAUGAAAUCCACCUCAGAUAGACAUCCCUCUAGUCAUCUAAGUGAAACAUGGUCCGAAUUGACUAGGCCGUGUCCGAUCAUCACGUGAGACGGACUAGUCAUCAACGGUGAACAUCUCAUGUUGAUCGUAUCUUCUAUACAACUCAUGCUCGAACUUUCGGUCUUCCGUGUUCCGAGGCCAUGUCUGUACAUGCUAGGCUCGUCAAGUCAACCUAAGUGUAUUGCAUGUGUAAAUCUGGCUUACACCCGUUGUAUUCGAACGUUAGAAUCUAUCACACCCGAUCAUCACGUGGUGCUUCGAAACAACGAACCUUCACAACGGUGCACAGUUAGGGGGAACACUUUCUUGAAAUUUUAGUGAGGGAUCAUCUUAUUUAAGCUACCGUCGUUCUAAGCAAAUAAUAUGUAAAACAUGAUAAACAUCACAUGCAAUCAAAUAGUGACAUGAUAUGACAAUAUCAUUUUGCUCCUUAUGAUCUCCAUCUUCGGGGCUCCACGAUCAUCGUUGUCACCGGCAUGACACCAUGAUCUUCAUCAUCGUGUCUUCUUGAAGUUGUCUCGUCAUCUAUUACUUCUACUACUAUGGCUAAUGCUUUAGCAAUAAAGUAAAGUAAUUACAUGACGUUUAUGUUGACACACAGGUCAUAAAUAAAUUAAGACAACUCCUAUGGCUCCUGCCGGUUGUCAUACUCAUCGGCAUGCAAGUCAUGAUUCCUAUUACAAGAACAUGAUCAAUCUCAUACAUCACAUAUAUCAUUCAUCACAUCCUUUUGGCCAUAUCACAUCACAAGGCAUAUGCUGCAAAAACAAGUUAGACGUCCUCUAAUUGUUGUUGCAAGUUUUUACGUGGCUGCUAUAGGUUUCUAGCAAGAACGUUUCUUACCUACGCCAAAACCACAACGUGAUAUGCCAAUUUCUAUUUACCCUUCAUAAGGACCCUUUUCAUCGAAUCCGAUCCGAGUAAAGUGGGAGAUACAGACACCCGCUAGCCACCUUAUGCAACUAGUGCAUGUCAGUCGGUGGAACCAGUCUCACGUAAGCGUACCUGUAAGGUCGGUCCGGGCCGCUUCAUCCCACGAUGCCGCCGAAUCAAGAUAAGACUAGUAACGGCAAGCAAAUUGGCAAUAUCGACGCCCACAACUGCUUUGUGUUCUACUCGUGCAUAGAAACUACGCAUAGACCUAGCUCAUGAUGCCACUGUUGGGGAACGUAGCAGAAUUUUAAAAUUUUCUACGCAUAACCAAGAUCAAUCUAUGGAGUCAUCUAGCAACGAGAGAGAGGAGUGCAUCUACAUACCCUUGUAGAUCGCGAGCGGAAGUGUUCAAGAGAACGGGGUUGAUGGAGUCGUACUCGUCGUGAUCCAAAUCACCGAUGACCGAGCGCCGAACGGACGGCACCUCCGCGUUCAACACACGUACAGUUGGGGAAUACGUCUCCUCCUUCUUGAUCCAGCAAGGGGGAAGGAGAGGUUGAUGAAGAUCCAGCAGCACGACGGCGUGGUGGUGGAAGCAGCGGGGAUCUCGGCAGGGCUUCGCCAAGCUCAGCAAGAGGGAGAGGUGUUACGAGGGGAGAGGGAGGCGCGAGGGGCUAGGGUGCGGCUCCCAUGCGCCUCCCCACUAUAUAUAGGGGUGGAGGGGGCUGGUUUCUUGCCCUCCAAGUCCAUUGGGGCGUUGGCAAAGGUGGGGGAAAGAAAUCCCAUCAUUUCCCUUCCCCACCGAUUGUUAUCCCCCCUUUUUAGGGAUCUUGAUCUUAUCCCUUCGGGAUAUGAUCUUAUUCCUUCUAAGGGGGGAUCUUGGUGCGCCUUGACCAGGGGUGUGGGUCCUUGCCCCCACUACCCACGUUCAUGUGGGUCCCCCCAUGCAGGUGGGCCCCACUCCGGAACCUUCUAGAACCUUCCCGGUACAAUACCGAAAAACCCCAAACAUUUUCCGGUGGCCAAAAUAGGACUUCCCAUAUAUAAAUCUUUACCUCCGGACCAUUCCGGAACUCCUCGUGACGUCCGGGAUCUCAUCCGGGACUCCGAACAACUUCCGGGUUACCGCAUACUAAUAUCUCUACAACCCUAGCGUCACCGAACCUUAAGUGUGUAGACCCUACGGGUUCGGGAGACAUGCAGACAUGACCGAGACAACUCUCCGGCCAAUAACCAACAGCGGGAUCUAGAUACCCAUGUUGGCUCCCACAUGUUCCACGAUGAUCUCAUUGGAUGAACCACGAUGUCGAGAAUUCAAUCAAUCCCGUGUUCAAUUCCCUUUGUCCAGCGGUAUUGUACUUGCCCGAGAUUCGAUCGUUGGUAUCCGAUACCUUGUUCAAUCUCGUUACCGGCAAGUCUCUUUACUCGUUCCGUAGCACAUCAUCCCGUGAUCAACUCCUUGGUCACACUGUGCACAUUAUGAUGAUGUCCUACCGAGUGGGCCCAGAGAUACCUCUCCGUUACACGGAGUGACAAAUCCCAGUCUCGAUUCGUGCCAACCCAACAAACACUUUCGGAGAUACCUGUAGUGAACCUUUAUAGCCACCCAGUUAUGUUGUGACGUUUGGCACACCCAAAGCACUCCUACGGUAUCCGGGAGUUGCACAAUCUCAUGGUCUAAGGAAAUGAUACUUGAUAUUAGAAAAGCUUUAGCAUACGAACUACACGAUCUUUGUGCUAGGCUUAGGAUUGGGUCUUGUCCAUCACAUCAUUCUCCUAAUUAUGUGAUCCCGUUAUCAACGACAUCCAAUGUCCAUGGUCAGGAAACCGUAACCAUCUAUGGAUCAACGAGCUAGUCAACUAGAGGCUUACUAGGGACAAGGUGUUGUCUAUGUAUCCACACAUGUAUCUGAGUUUCCUAUCAAUACAAUUCUAGCAUGGAUAAUAAACGAUUAUCAUGAACAAGGAAAUAUAAUAAUAACCAAUUUAUUAUUGCCUCUAGGGCAUAUUUCCAACAACUUCUUCAGCUCCUUCAACUCUUCAGGUCCAAGCUUGUAAGGACGCUUGCAAACCGGUUCCGUGCCAGGCUCAAGAUCGAUGACGAAUUCAACUGGCCGGUGCGGAGGCAUUCCUGGAAGCUCUUCUGGAAAGACGUCUUGAUAUUCGCAAACGACUGGAAUUUGAGAGAUGGCAUCUAGUUCACCCUUCUCAUUGAGAGAAAACAGACGGAUUGUAUCAUCACGAGCGGCAAAGACAAUUACAUCCUCAGACGAAUGAGUCAAUUGAAUCUGCUUGGCAGCACAAUCAAGAUGAGCCUUGUGCUUAGAAAGCCAAUCCAUUCCAAGAAUAAGAUCAAUAUCCGAGUCGCCGAGAACAAUAGGAGAAGCUAGAAAUUUGUAGUCGCCCAACAUGAUAGAAAUAUCCGGGACGCAGAAAUUAGUUGUCAUCUGCUUGCCCGGUGACACGAUUUGCAAAGAACUUUGCAGAUACUGAUAAUCGCACUCAUACUUUGAUGCAAAAGGUUUGGAAAUGAAACAAUGCGAUGCACUAGUGUCAAAAAGAACUCUUGCAGGAAUAUCGUUAACAGGAAUGUUACCCAUGAUGACAUUUGACGAGUCCUCUGCCUGAGCUGCAUUCAUCAAGUUGACCUUGGCGUGCUUGGGGUUAUGCUUGACCACAGCUAUACUUGCCGAUCUCACAGGAGGAGGAGGAGGGAGACGCCUCUGAUUGAAGCAUUUGUUGGCAUAGUGACCCUUCUGUUGGCACUUGUUGCACGUGACCUCUGAAAGCGGACGAUGAUACGAAGCACUCGAUCUUGGAGCUUGAGACGAAGUCUUGUUCUGAAAGCCAAGGUUGGGUGGGUGGGAAGAUCCACUGCCACCUUUGCUCUUCUACUGAAACGGCUGACGGAACAGAGGAGGAGGAAGCCAAUACUUCUGCUGCUUAGCCACUUGAGUAGAGGAAGAAGGAGUCGCAUCUCUGACUCGCUUCUUGGAAGCAUCGCACUUCAGUUGAGCAGCCUCUUGCUUCAAUGCCAUGUUGUAAAACUCAUCGUACCUCCUGGGCUCAAAGAGGACAAGAGCUAGCUGGAUUUCUUCUCCGAGACCACCCCUAAACUGGUAUAUCAUGCUCUUCUCGUCAGGGACGUCCUGCUUAGCAAAGCGGGCGAGCUUCUGAAACAUCUUGUUGUAGUCAUAGACAGACAUAGAGCCUUGCUUCAGGUUGCGGAAUUCCUCACUCUUGCUUUCAACCACGCUCUGAGGAAUAGGAUGAGCUUUGAAGUCUUGACGGAAUUCAUCCCAGGUAAUCACACGGCCUCCUCUGGAAUCUUUGUACUGCUGAAACCAUUCUGCAGCUUGGUCUUUGAGUUGGAAGGAAGCGAACUUGACAAAGUCCCGUAGGCCUGACGUUACUGCACUCGAAAUGCUUGCAUAAGUCCACGAGCCAAUCAUCAGCGUCAGUUGCCUCAACACAAUUGCUGAAAGUCUUUGGCUGGUUAGCAAGGAACUGGUUGAGUGUAGCAAAGUGAUUCUGAUUGUUGCCUUGGUUGCCUUGGUUCGCUUGGUUGCGCUCUUGAAGAAUUUGCAUGAUCAGCUGCGUGUUUGCAUUGGUAGCGGCCAUCACAGCUUGCCAUGCCUCCGGAGGUGGAGGUGGUGGUGGCGGAUCAGGAUUCGGAGUCGUGCGCGUUGGAGGAGCCAUCCUGAAGAGGUUGACAUCCAUUAGCACACUGAUAGACAAAAAUUGAAGCUGAAACCAACGGGUAGAAAUUGCAACAUAUAGUCUUCACAUCCGAACAAAAUGAACGAAUGCAUUCCAAUUGAAAUGGUCACGUAUCCAUUUAUUGAGAAGCCACUUAGAAUUUAGUUAGAGGAAUAAAAUCAACAAGGUACGAAACAAGAACGAAUACUCGGUAAGGAUCACCCAAUCUCAAACCAAAUAUCCGUGGAAGAAGAACUAGAGCUACUAGAAUUCCCACCUAUGAAACUCCCGAACCUCUUCGGUUAUGCAAUCAGGUGUUGGGGAUACAUGGGAAGCAUAAUAUCUCACCCAAAUCUAGCAAACCGUACAUCCAGCUGUAUCCAUCCUUCAACACAUAACCGGGAAAAACUUCAGAAAUCGUCUACCUCAACCUUCGAAAAGCAUCUGUUAUACAAGUUAUGGCAAUACUCCCGAACUCCCGCCCCAGUACUGGGUGGCCUCGAGGUUAUCUCACCAACAACUGCAUAAAAGAGAUUUUCGAUGUCGACGAACAAAACUCAGGUAUUCCAGAACUUCAACAAUAAAAUUGUGAUGACAACACCUCAGAGCUCAACUCCCCGGGACACUGCCACAACCCCUAAAUGACAGGAGGCACCAAGAACAAUGUUCUCGUCACAAAUCGAUCGGAACGAUUCCAAGAUACCCGCGUGAUCCUAAUUUUUUUAGUGAAAUUUGAGAAGAGAAGAGACAAAACUCUACGUCAGGAUGCCUUACCAGAGCGAUGAAGGGACUGGGAGUAAAAAGAAUACCUGAACUCUCCGAUAUAUAAUUCCAAAAUGACUCAAAAUAUUUUUCUAGACUCAACAACGGCAGCUAAUUCGAUCAAGCAGUGGGGGCUCCUAAGGUCGGGGAAGGCUCUGAUUACCAACUUGAUAACGCCCUCGAUGCGGCUAUAUCUCCUACGUGUCGAAGCACGACUUAGAGGCAUAACCGCAUUGAAAGCAAUGUCACAAGUAAGGUAAUCUUCACAACAACCCAUGUAAAUAUAUAACAAGGGGAAAGGUACAUAGUUGGUUUACACUCGCCACGUCACACAAAGUACAUAAAUAGCAUUACAAUCAUCCAAUACACUCAUGGUCCGACUAUGGUACCAAAAUAAAAGAUCAACCCCAAAAUGCGACACGGUCCCGAUCGCCCCAACUGGGCACCACUACUGAUCAUCAGGGAAAGACACAUAGUAACGGCCUGAGUCUUCGUCGAACUCCCACUUGAGCUCAAGCGCAUCAUCUGGAAUGGAAUCAUCGGGCCCUGCAUCUGGUUUGGAAGUAAACUGUGAGCCAUGGGGACUCAGCAAUCUUGCACCCUCGCGAUCAAGACUAUUUAAGCUUAUAGGUAAGGCAAGGUAAUAUGUGGAGUUGCAGCAAGCGACUAGCAUAUAUGGUGGCUAACCUGUUCGCAAAAGAGAGCGAGAAGAGGAGGCAAAGCACGAACGAAGAACUAGAGAACAACCUACGACAAACAUUACUCCAACACAGUGUUCACUUCCCGGACUCCGUCAAGAAGAGACCAUCACGGUUACACACGCGGUUGAUUCAUUUUAAUUAAGUUAAAGUUCAAGUUAUCUACAACCGGACAUUAACAAAUUCCCAUCUGCCCAUAACCGCGGGCACGGCUUUCGAAAGUUCAAAUCCCUGCAGGGGAGUCCCAACUUAGCCCAUCACAAGCUCUCACGGUCAACGAAGGAUAAACCUUCUCCCGAGACAUUCCGAUCAGACUCGGUAUCCCGGUUCUACAAGACAACUUCGACAAAGAUAAAACAAGUCCAGCAACACCGCCCAAAUGUGCCAACAAAUCCCGAUAGGAGCUGCACAUAUCUCGUUCUCAGGGCAUACUCAGAUGAGCUCUCCAUACAACUAAAACCAAACCUCGAGUUCCCUGAGGGGGCGCUACACAUGACUCUAGUUUGGACCAACACUCAGAGGAGCACUGGCCCGGGGUGGUUUAAAUAAAGAUGACCCUCAGGUUCCGGAAACCCAAGGGAAAAAGAGGCUAGGUGGCAAAUGGUAAAACCAAGGUUGGGCAUUGCUGGAGGAGUUUUACUCAAGGUGAACUGUCAAGGGGUUCCCAUUAUCACCCAACCGCGUAAGGAACGCAAAAAUCCGGGAACAUAACACCGAUAUGACGGAAACUAGGGCGGCAAGAGUGGAACAAAACACUAGGCAAAAGGCCGAGCCUUCCACCCUUUACCAAGUAUAUAGAUACACUAAGAUAACAAGAUAAUAUAGUGAUAUCCCAACAAAAUAAACAAUGUUCCAACAAGGAACGAUAUCCAAUCUUCACCUGCAACUAGCAACGCUAUAAGAGGGGCUGAGCAAAGCGGUAACAUAGCCAAUCAACGGUUUGCUAGGACAUGGUGGGUUAGAGGUUUGACAUGGCAAUUUGGGAGGCAUGAUAAGCAAGUGGUAGGCAUCAUAGCAUAGACAUAGCAAAAGAGCGAGCAUCUAGCAAGCAAAGAUAGAAGUGAUUUUGAUGGUAUGGUCAUCUUGCCUGCAAAGUUGUCAGAGUUGACUGGAUCCUCGAAAGCAAACUCAACGGGCUCCUCGUUAGCGAACUCGUCUCCCGGCUCUAUCCAAACAAGACAAACAAGCAAAAGGAACACAAUCAACCACGUGCAAAGCUCGUACAACAUGAUGCAAACAUGGUAUGUUAUGCGGGAUGCGAUAUGUGAUGCAUAUGCAAGAUUUGACAAGGAAUGAUUGAACUUGGCCUCAACUUGGAAAUCCAAGAGUGCCACUGGAAAUGUGAGGUGAUUUCGGUUGAAAUCGAUAUAAAGAACACCGGAAUCGGAUGCACGGUUUGGAAAUGGCAAGCAAAACAAAUAUGGCAACGGUCUGCGAUAAACAGCAAGUAGCCAUCUAAAUGCAUCAGGAUAAUUAUGCUACAACACACAAACAUGGCAACAAAAUACAUGGCAGGGAUCCACUCAUGAUGCUUGACAAAAGAUGAACAGUGAGCUACGGCCAAUUCAUCCACUAACAGGUCCAAACAAGCAUGGCAAAAGUGCAAUUGAUAAACAGGCUUCAGACUUAGUGAAAUUAACACUAGUCUGGAAUUUCAGAUCAGGUAGCACACUUUGGAGCAUGAAAACUAUAUGCUACAGGAACUUAACAUGGCAAAGCAAGGCAUGACAUGAAGCUACGCCAAGCACUUAACAAAAGUCCCUUAGUGACCCUGAGUCAAAAGGGAUCAGAAAAUACAAUUGCAAGCAUGUGAACAUGGAAAAAACAUAAUCAGAUCUCAGACUUGGUGAAAAACUGGAGCAUGCAAAGAUGUUAACGAGUAGGCAUGUUUACGAGCUCGAUGCACUCACUACAGAGGAUGACAUGACAAUCUAAGCAUACACCCAUCAAGAACACAUAUUAUAUGAGCUAGACAUGGCAAGAACUACAACAUAUCAUGCACGGAUCAACAACAACAUCCUCGACAAAAUCGCUAACGAGUAGACAAUCUGCCAGGAAUUACGAAAUAGAAAAGUAGAGCUCGACUGACUCAAGCUAGGUUGAUCCAUAAAUGCAAACAAAUACAUGGAUGGAUAGAGCAUCACAAUAUUAACAAAUCAUCCUUACUGGUCGUCCUCAAAAAAGGCACAGAUCACUAGGAAACAACAUGAACAUAUGGCAUAUUGAUAAAAACAGAUCAAGGACUUGGUGAAAUUCUAAGUCCCUGAAAUCAGCAUUAACGAAUGCACUCUUUGCAAGCUUGUGCUAGUCACCACACAUGUCACAAAAAUACAUGGUAAGCACUUUUGUAAAUAUGGCAAAGCAUAUAACAAAACUCAUGUAGAGCUCAGGAGCAUAUCAUGCACACAUUAAUCAUGGCAAAAAUGACAAAUAGCUAUUUGGUGCAGCAGAUCUGACAAUUAACUCAAAUAGCUCUCUUACAAUAGCAUUUCGGGCAUCAAGAUGAGCUCAAAUGAAAAUGAUGCAAUGAGACGAAAUGAUGUACUCUCAGAGAAGAACAUUUUGAUAUGCUACACGCCCAAAAUGGAGCUACAGAUGCGGAGUUACGACAUGAUGAAAAUCACAAAAUAUCUAGGGUUCGGGGAUAAAAAGUCAACCCUCCGGAUCUAGAUCUGAGAUCACUGUAGCAGUGCGCGGACGUCGAGGUUCGCCGGAGUUUGUCGAGGUGGUCGCCGGACUUGGCGUGGAGAGGAGCUUGCCGGCCGGAUCUUGCCGGAUCCGGUGAGGGCGGCCGAGGAGGAGAGGACGGGCGGCGAGGUGCGGCUGGCGCGGAACGAAGCGCGGCUCCGGCCGGCGAGNNNNNNNNNNNNNNNNNNNNNNNNNNNNNNNNNNNNNNNNNNNNNNNNNNNNNNNNNNNNNNNNNNNNNNNNNNNNNNNNNNNNNNNNNNNNNNNNNNNNNNNNNNNNNNNNNNNNNNNNNNNNNNNNNNNNNNNNNNNNNNNNNNNNNNNNNNNNNNNNNNNNNNNNNNNNNNNNNNNNNNNNNNNNNNNNNNNNNNNNNNNNNNNNNNNNNNNNNNNNNNNNNNNNNNNNNNNNNNNNNNNNNNNNNNNNNNNNNNNNNNNNNNNNNNNNNNNNNNNNNNNNNNNNNNNNNNNNNNNNNNNNNNNNNNNNNNNNNNNNNNNNNNNNNNNNNNNNCGCGGGCCUGGCGGGCCUCGGGCGGCGGCGGCGAUGUGGUCGCCCGCCCGGGACACAUGGCAGGAGCUGAUUCGUCCGGCGGAGCGGGAGGACGUGUCCGGCGUGCGGAGAGGAAGGGGAGCUAGGGUUUUGGGGAAGAAGAUCCAAAAAUUUCGGGAGAGGGUCUAUAUAUAGGCAUAGAGGGAGCUAGGAGAGUCCAAAUGAGGUGCGGUUUUCGGCCACGCGAUUGUGAUCGAACGCUCUAGAUGAUGGAGAGGGUUUUGGUGGGUUUUGGGCCAAAAUGGAAGGGUGUUGGGCUGCAACACACACGAGGCCUUCUCGGUCCGUCGGUUAACCAUUGGAGUAUCAAACAAAGUCCAAAUGGUACGAAACUUGACAGGCGGUCUACCGAUAGUAAACCAAGGCCGCUUGGCAAGUCUCGGUCCAAUCCGGAUAUGUUUAACCCCCACACAUGAAAAGAAGGUAGAAAGGACCACCGGAGGAGAUAGGAGCGCUGGAAUGCGAAACGGACAACGGGGAAAAUGCUCGGAUGCAUGAGACGAACACGUAUGCAAAUGCAAUGCACAUGAUGACAUAAUGUGAGAUGCAAGACAACGACAACAACACAUGGAGACAAAAACCCGAACCCGAGGAAAUAAAAUAACUUAGCGUCGGAAACGGCAAGAGUUGGAGUACAUAUUAGGUAAAUUACAUCCGGGGUGUUACACCUAAUCAGUCGCGCGACCCAUCAGAUAUCACCCACACAGGUGUCUGAUGGCUUGAGCCAGUUUUUACUCAUGAUAGGUCAGCAGUGCAUUGGCUGUUACUUUUGCAUAUGACCUUGGAUUGAGACGAGUUUUAUAUCAAAAUCAAUCAUUUCGACGAGACGAAGACAAUACAUGCAUAAUCUUUUCUCAUAUGAGGCUGUCUUGGAGGCCUAAUCGGCCAAACAGUACUCUACAUACAGAAUCCUAGUACAUCGAGCACAUCUUCCGCCCUCAAGAUGAGAUCGGAUGACGGUGACACAAAAUUCAAAUAUGUUCAUGUCGACAAUACGGAACUUUUUCAUGUACUCCCUCCGUUCGGAAUUACUUGUCUCAGAUAUGGAUGUAUCUAAAACUAAAAUACAUCUAGAUACAUCCAUUUCUGCGACAAGUAAUUCCGAAUGGAGGGAGUAGAUCACUUCUCCAUUUGAGCCCAUCUUAAUUAUGUUCUUGACCAUGCCAAAAUCUGGUGUCAAUAGUUGCUUGGACCGGCGCCAACAUCUUUGCCGAUUGUGCCAGACUACCAACUCGCCGGAGAGAAGCGGCUGCCACUGUCGGUGCAAGACAAGACGACGCUGCGAUGACGGCGGUCGACAGGUGCUUGUGAAUUGUGAUUGUGGAUUGUGGUCGUCUCAUGCUAGGGUUAGGUUAAAUUCUGAUUUAUAUGUGGUGAUUUUAGUUAGUGGUCCACGUAGGUAUUUGGGUUUCUCAAUUGGGCUAAAUUUAUCGAAUAAUCCUAUUUGACCACCUCGGAUAAUCCGCAAAAGAUACCGGAUACUCCAUAUCCACCGGAUAUUACCAAUACUAUAUCUCUCUACCUUGUCCGCCGGAUAUCCAAUUGAUCAAAAUCUGUAUCAGCAUCCAUAUAUAGUUGUCUGAUACAAUGAAACCAUACCUUACCAACAUUUGGGGCACUGACUGAAAAAGGGAUUGAACUUCAGUACCUCACUGCACCUGCCUUUGAGUGCAUGACAUGUGGACCCCACAUGAGGUUGGACCACAUGUCAUACACUCAAAGGAAGGUGCAGUUACGUCACUAAAGCUGCAUCCAUGAAAAGGCACUAGUUCAGGGGAAGAUGCUCCUCUAUAGUCCAACCCACCCCCACCCCGCACACAUUUUUUUAGGUUUCAUAAAAUUGCGAAAACAAUCACCACACGUCUAACUUACAUGUGGGACAAAUGCCCACCCGCGCGUCACUAACAUCUCCUUACCCAAAGCGCAUGAAGUGUGCGUGCUUUUGGGUGGCGUUUAUCCAACCUUUGCUGGAUGCACCAAAAGAAACUUAUCAAAUAUCAACUCAACAUGGGAAGGAUGUUGUGAUGCAUCAAUGUCAGCUUGUGCCCUGGGUGCUUUGUGUUUUUUUUGCAUCUGUAUGGUACUCCCUUUAUUUCAUAAUGUAGUGCCCAUAGACUUAGAAAAAAGUAAAAUAACAACAUUUGACCAAGUUUAUAGAAAAGAUUAUCAAUAUCUAUAAUAUCAAACACAUCAGUAUAAAAAUAUGUAUCAUGAUGUAUAUAAUGAUAUGUAUUUGUUAUUCUAUAUGUUAAUAUUUUUCUCUAGAUACUCAGUCAAAGUUGCAAAGCUUGAUUUUUAGAAAAAUCUAUAUUUGUUACAUUGUGGAACCAAGGGAGUAUGAUAUGAUAUCACGAGCGCAUCUAUGAAAUACAAAUCGGACCAUAUUCAUUUUCUCAUGUCAUAUGGGCUCCAAAAGGCAAUGAAAUAGGAUCUAGUCCAUAUGAAUGUGUCUGCAUACAGAUGGACCCCCUUUUCCAUGUGAUCUUCUGAUCAGUAAAUCUAUGGGGGUUGGUGAGUGCAAGUUUACAACCCAUGAAAGGGGUGUAAUAGAAUUGACUCGGCGCAGAGCAUCCGAAUUAUACAAAGGGUUGAACGUUGUUUUGAAGAGAAACAAAAUAGUGUGUCAAAAACAUAUAUUUCUAACAUUUUGGGGUGUUUAAAUAAGGAAGUACCAACCUUAGGAAUAUUGGACUUGAUACACACAUUUGGUUAGGCCCUAAAAGUUUCGAUCUCUCGAUUCAAUUUUCGCGGAGCUAAUGUGUUACUUAUGUCAAGUGAUUAUACCUCUGUUGUCUUAGAAAUAAUCACAGACUAAUCAAGAUCUUAUAACUCGUUUUGAACUUGGAUAGAUCUUAUAUUUAGACUGGGUGGUUUUACUGGUAAAUAGAAAAAAACAUUACUUGAUAAUGCAGGCUCCCAAACCUUUGCCAUAUCAUGAGUGCUGGAAAACUCACCAAUUAAUCAUGCUGCUUUUGACCAAGCGGUGAACAUAGUAAGUUGUCAAAAAAAAUCAAAUGCUACUUUAUAUAAGUUUGUCGCGGUUGCAAUUAAUGUGAGCUAGAAAUAGUAACAUUUAUGUUGAUCUAGACAAAAAUGGACAUGAACAAGUGGCCUAGCACAUUUUGCAUUAUGCCGUGGAUCUUUUACAUUUUUCUUAGCAUAUUUGGGUUGUCUGUCUCAAAAAAGUCCUUGUGUUCCAUCUUCUAGUUCCGUCAAAUAUAAACAAAAGAUGACACCAUCAAACUAUUCUCUAACUAUUAUGUUAAAUAUGAAAUGCUCCAAUAUCAGGUUCGUAUGUGUGAUAUAGUGCAAAAUGGGUAACUAAAAUCAAAUGCAAUAUGCUAUUUUAAGAGCUAAUGUUUGUUGGAUGAAAAGCAAAGCAAGAAAAGUAGACGUGGCUCACUAUCUAUAGCAAUUUUACAUCUUUCAUCUGUCUCCAUCCAAAAGUGGUACCAAUCCAACAUACCUUAUGUAUAUUUAUUGUCAAAUAUCACCACACACCAAAUUCAACCACGACCACGUAUAUUUGAGGCUGACAACAUUAGUUGUACCAUUAUGUAACUAUGUAGAUUGAAAUGUGUUAUGUACCGUAUUGAUGUAGAACAUUCUAGUGAUUUAUCCAGAUUCCUGGGCAACUCGAUGUACCGUUAACACUUUUUCACCUAUUUUAGAAAACAAAGAUGUAUAGUUCGCUACCAGAUGAUAGGUUAGUGGCAAAAAAGAAUGGCAAGUGGUUGAGGGGUAAGGAGUUUCUUUUGGAUAAGCUAGGUUGUUGCAUUUUUAUAGGUGUCCAUGGAUCAAAUUAAGACUACUUGUUUUUCUUGUCUCGGUUUUUUUGUUGGGUUAAUUUUCAUUUGAUAAAAAUUCCCGAGUUCCUUGUGGAAGGACAUAUCAAUAUUGCCCCACUAAAUUAGAAAGCGAUAGCAACAUCACAACAAUUAUGGACUUCAUGAUGACUAGUCGUAUGAGGAAGAAAAUAUCGUGCAUAAAUGUUGAUGCAUGCUUGUCUUUAAUGUUGAUGGUAUGCUGGAAUGGUUGGUCAUCAAUCAAAAAAUAAUGUAGGCAAAGAGGUAACCAGAUACUUUUGAAACAAACUGCAAACAUUAGCACAUUUCCAAUAGGUAGCAAUAAAAACUUGUUAUGCAAUGUAUAAUAUAAUGCACAGUGAAAAGAACAACGAUCUAGCAGAAGUGAAAGAUCAUCAAUUAUUCGUAGUAUUCCUCCGAACUCAAGAAAAAUCCCACUCUUGACAUCAUAGAGGAAAAACAACCGAUGGCACACCAUUAUUGUAGAUGCACUUAGUUUUUGUAAGACAUUAAGAUGCGUGCAAUUGGUGCAUAAGAAACUAACUGUAAACCAACAACAUCCCAUGAACCUAGGGUUGCACCAAGGAGAUGCAUGUAAUUGGUGCAUAGCACACUAACUAUAAAUCAUCAACAUCCCAUGAACCCAGGGUUGCACCACUAUUGUAUCCAUAUCAAAGCCCCCCCCCCCUUCUCGCUUCACCCAAAACGACCGAAAGAGAACAACCUGUAUGUUGCCAAACUUCAGUUGCAGCCAGCCAUUACCGACUUAAAACCGCAUUCUAGUCACAAUACACCACCACACGAUGACAACCUUCUCUGAAUCAGUCCAGACAGUCCAACCAAAACCAAACUCAGUCUGCUAUUUUAUGGGCUAACUAGCAUAGUGAUCCGCUCGGCUAGGUUUCAUAUUAUUUUCUCUUCAAACAAACACUCCCCAUGAUAACUAACAUCAUAGCAAAGAUAUACAUCCAGUGAGAACAUAUUUCAUAGUGACCCGCAUAUUUGCGCGGCUAGAUUUCAUAGGUAUUACUGUAUUCCAAAUAAAAUAGUGUAUUAUUUGAAGGCAUCUCAAAAAGUAGAUGAUGCAUUCUCUGGUGACAUUAAUGGCACAAAAAGAAGACAUUUGUUUGUCUUAAAAAAACAUCUUGCACAUAGAGAAAUUGCCCAAUCUUGACGGUAUUUUUAAUUAUGAUUUCAAUUGUGCAAGCUGGGUCUUAAUGACUCAAAGAUUUUUUGGUUCGGAUACCAUAUAGAAGUAAAUGCAUUGGUUAUGUUAUAAGUCAUGGGAGAGAGGUAGACAUUGCAUUCAUACUUCAAGAAUAAGAGAUCAUCAAAUCAUCAUACUCCACGGACAGAAAACUUCACCUGCUAGCCAAACAAAAACAUUUUGCACAAAAGUUAAAAAUCCGAUGCUUGAAUUUUAAAUGCCGGAGAAAAUUGCGAUGCUCGCAAUAACAUAAUUUGUCAUAGCACGCGUUAGAUUUGUCAUAUUUAAAAAUCCGACGUCGUCAAAUUUAUAGCGAAAUCGUAGAGAAAUCGCCAUCCUCGGACUACCUACUACAAGUCGUAGCAACGUUCGCCGCAAACGCCGUAGAAUCCCAUCCAUGUCAGUGCAAACGCCAUGGGUUGACGUAUAGCACGACGACAGUAGGUACAGGCAUCGGCAUGCAUGCCACAUGCGUGCAUCGACGCAGGGUGCGCCGGCCGGCCGGCCAUGGAUACCAGCGAGAUAUAUACACCUCUUCCCUCUUGCUUUCACCCGAAACGGCGAAGAGAAACGACGUACGUGUCUGCCGCCAGACUUGAACCGCAAGCGGCCAUCCCCGACCUGAAACCGCUGGGUACGGCCACGCAAAACGUUCGCAGCUUCUGAACCGGUCCAGUCGGGCCAGCCGGCCAGCGGCGCACGGGUACCGUCGUGCUGGGUAUCGGCUCGGCCCCGGCCCUCGUGAUGGCCACCCGAGGCCCGAAGGCGAUCAGAGGCGUGCAGCUUCCCUGUAGCCAGACAGCGGCCGGACGCUGCCGCCGCUGCGCGGCAUGGCACCCACAUCUCCCCCUUCCUCGCCGGCCGGCUGCGCACGGCGCCGGCGCCUCCACGGAAACGACGCAGGUAGACUGACAGGCCGAAGCGGGCGGGUUCGCCCGAAACUCACAUGUCAGUGAUGCUCUGCUUCGUACGUGCGUGAGAGAGGAGACAUAGAGUUAAGGAUUCUUCUGCUAGCUAGCUGCUCAGUGUGUGUGCGUUUGAAAUUAAGAGUCACCCAGGGCAUUUCUAACCGAUCCUUUAUAAUCGGUUCGAAAUUAAGAGUGACCGAGGGCAUUUCUAAUCAAUCACUUAUAAUCGGUUAAAGAAAUAAAAAUAUGAUUUUUCGGCACCGAGACGAUCCCCAAUCCAUCAUAAGGGAGUAUAUUUUUUUACUUCAUCCCUAAGUUUUUGCAUAUAUUUACUCCGUCUGAAGGCGGCCGAGUAUAAAUUUUCUUCACGCAAAGAUCUCCUCAUGGCCGGCCGGCGACUCACGUGAAGCUCCCAUGGCCUCCCGGCGACCCUUGCACGUACUACUACCGGAACUGCCACUAAAUGUUGUUGCUGCUGUGCGUUGCUGUUGUGUGUUGUUGCUGCUGCUUGCCGCUGCCGGUGUGUGCUGUUGUUGCUGUUGCUCGCCGCCGUUGGUGCGUGUUGCUACUCCUUCCCGUUGCGUGCUGCUGCUGCUCGCUGCCGCCGGUGCGUGUUGUUGUUGCUUGCCGCCGGUGCAUGCUCGCCGUUGCUCCUCCCUGCUGUGUGCUGCUACUGCUGCUGCUUGCCGCUGCUCCUCCCUGCUGUGUGUUGCUACUGCUGCUACUCGCCACCACCGGUGCGUGCUGCUGUUGUUGCUCCUCCCAGUUGCGUGUUGUUGCUGCUUGCCGCCGGUGCAUGCUCGCCGUUGCUCCUCCCUGCCGCGUGCUGCUACUACUGCUGCUUGCCACUGCUCCUCCCCACUGUGUGCUGCUACUGCUGCUACUCGCCGCCGUCGCUGCGUGCUGCUGCUAUUGCUCCUCCCAGUUGUGUGUCUUUGCUGCUGCUGCUCGGUGCUCGCUACCGACAUGGUCACGUGGUUGCCACUCGCCACGAAGGUGCAUAGCAAGUGUUCGACGAAAUGUAUGAACGAAAUUUAAAUUUACUCCAUUAUGUAUAGGGUGGUCGCCGGUCGGCUAGCUCCAACCAAAACUCUACGAAGGUUUAUUUCUUUAUUUUUUAAGAGAUCGGUUAGAAAUGUCCUGAGUGGCCGGGCAGUGGAAGGAUAUGAUAGACGGAACGCGAGGGAGUAGUGGAGUUUUCUGUCCAUGGACAGAGGUACGCGUACGUAGGUACGGGCUUGGGAGAAGAGACGAGGGCGGUGCAGGGCAGGCCGUACGCCACAGUCAGCUGCACCUGCCUGCCUCCUCCGUCUUUGUUUGACGCCCCCAACCCCGUGAAAGGGCAUCACGCACGCAACAGUACUCCAAUCCUCUUCGGGAGGCCACGACCCAUCUCGUCCGAUCGGGAACAAGCGAACGGGAUUGGCUGCCCGGAGCCCGCGAGCUAGUCACUAGUGAGUGUCCACUAUAAAUCUUUUUUUUUUCCCUGAGGCUGGUUGUAAUGAGGAGUAUCAUAUACUAGUAUCAUGAUACUAGUCUAUGAUACUACAUCCCUAAUGCAUAGUAUCAUAUGUUGGUAUCAUAGAUGACUAUAUUUAUUACCAUGCAACACAAAAUAGCACAUCAUUUAAUAUGAUACGGUAUCAUGAUAUGACACUCAAGCCUCUCUUCCUUUAUUUAAUUCUAUGCCACCUCAUCAAAACUGCUUAGUUGACAUGCAUACUACGUGCACUGUACUUGGAAAUAUUGGUGGCUGCAUGUAUGGGCGUGCCGGAAGAAAGGACAGCCUAGUGGGGGACCGGGGUAAUUCCACAUUUACAACAGUAACAAUGCCACGUCAGAUUCCAAGCGUCUUUGGAUACAUGUGGCAUUACUUGUCCCGUCAACUUUAUUUCUUCCAUCAUGCAAAAUAAACUUUAUUUUUUUUCCAUUUCAAUCAAAAUAAUUUAUUUAUUCUCUUUCUUGGUCGCCUCUUCAAAAUUCGCUUCCGCGGCAGCAUUCCCGCUCUCCUACCUCCAUCUUCCUGAACCCCUUAACCUAAUGCACAUCCGUAACUCAUCGCCUCUCUCAGCGAAAAAAAUGAGCCAAGAGAGUCCAAUCUUCUAGCGCCGUUCUCCGGCGACUCCCCUUCACCGGCAACCUCGGUCGUCGGUGGUGAGGGGGGCGCCGGAUCCACGUGUGUGGAUCAUUUUUUACUCUCUCGUAGUCUAGGUUUUAGGCUGUUCAUCGUCUUGGCUUCGGCGACGACGAUGACAACGCUGAAUAAAGAUAGUUUCCUCCUUCGGUGACUUAGUCGUGGUGGGAUGCCAGAUCUGGAGUUUGACGGUGUGUCCGGGGUGUUGCCCCGGUCUGAUUCAUUCAACGACAAGGGUUUACUUUUGGUGAGCCACCUUGGAGGUCCGCAAAGCUGUAUAUCAUCGAUGGAGACGCGUAGCUCGAGUGAGGAGGUGAUCCGUCAUUCUUUUCUUCGGUGGCUGCUAUGGUGGUGCCGGAGGCAGGUGACGGGUGUUGGUGUCAAGCUCAGAAAUGUUCUGCUAUCUUUUUAGUUUUGUCAUGUCGGUCCUUACGUAACUUGUACUUUGAUGUUUAUGAUAUGAAUCAGACACGUAUUACGUUAGAAAAAAGUAGUUGUACUUGCUAAUAUAUAAGCCAUUUCCGGCUACAAAUUGUUGCAAUGUACUCUCUUCGGUCCUUUUUAGUCUGCAUAUAAGUUUUGUCUGAAGUCAAAGCAUCUCUACUUUGACCAAACUUAUAAAAAAAGUAUCACCAUUUACAAUAUCAAAUCAAUAUCGUUAGAUUCAUUACGAAAUGUACUUUCACGGGAUAUAUAUUUGGUAUGGUAAUUGUUGAUAUUUUUUAAAUAUAUAUUUGGUCAAACUUUGUAAAGUUUGACUUGACCAAAACCUAAUAUGCGGAGUAAAAAGGACCGGAGGGAGUAGUACCAUUUUAACGUUCACAGAUUAAAAUGCAGCCUCCCUCUCCGCUGUGAUCUUCCAUUCACUCAAUCUCUGGGGGAUGUUGCCAGCGUGCAAGUUGAAAACUUUGGACUCGUCUUCCUUAAUAUGCCAUCGUAUGAUGGGUAAGGCGGUGCUUGGCAUUUUGGCAUUGUCAUGUGGAUAGAUACUUUGGCUUCACCGCAUGUGUGGGCUUUGAAAUGGCAUCUAUUAAUAGAUAUUUUACCUUUUCUCCUCUCUCCUACAGAAAGUACACUUCUUUUUGAAUUUACAGAAAGUAUACUUGGGCUUGGGGAUCUUGUGGAAUAGCAUCACGUGGGUCUAGAAUAGAUGCGCGUAGUUUAUUUACUCAACCGAAGCUUACUUUUAUUCGAUUCUGUCUCUUGAGACAACUAGGUUACUAGUGGAAGGUUUCAGCUAAUCCCAGUCCUACUAUCCAAAUUAAUUAAUUACACGGAUGCCCAUCAGCAAAAGAAAAAUGGCGAUUAGUAGUAAGAGUACUCCCUUCGUUUCUUUUUAGUCUGUAUAUAAGGUUUGGUCAAAGUCAAGUUUUGUAAAAUUUGACUAAUUUUAUAUUAAAAAAUAUAAGCAUUGACAAUAUGAAAUUAAUAUUAUCAAAUGCACCACAAAAUGUAAUUUCGUACUACAUAGUUUUUAUAUUGUAGAUGUUCGUAUUUUUUAAUAUAAAUUUAAUCAAACUUUGUGUAGUUUGACUUUGUCCGAAUCUUAUAUGCGGAGUAAAAAAAAA
rnacentral:lncRNA from 1 species